rnacentral:lncRNA from 1 species
GUUGUAGAAAAGGUUAGGAAGUUAGAGUUGUGCUGGUAUGCUCAUGGAAGCACGGAGGCUUUCGUGCUUCCAAGUUAUUUUCGAUGUUCGGACUUUCGAAUGGACGAUCAGCUCCGUUAGAGUUGAUCUAGAGUAUUUGAAGUAUCUAGAAAAUAAAUUUUGCGAUUUUUCGAUAUCAUUUGCCUAGUGAUCGAAGGGGCUCAAAAUCAAUAAUUUUAACGGCCGUGGUGAGCCGGUUGCAAGUUUAACGGUGUAGAAAUAUCCAAAUCACAUGAAAUUUUGAUAGAAAAUUUUUUAUACCAUAUAAAACAAGACCAAUAACUUUGAUCUAAAAUUUUAAUGUCAUAUCAUCAUAUUUUGUAAGAUUUUUAUUUUCAGCCGUUGAUUUUGAGCCACUUUGAUCACUAGGCAAAUAAUAUCGAAAAAUUGUAAAAUUUAUUUUCUAGAUACUUCAAAUGCUCUAGAUCAAGUCUAACGGAGCCAAUCGUCGAUUCGAAAGUUCGAACAUCGAAAACAAAGUGGAAGCACGGAGCUCUCCGUACUUUCAUAAGCAUCCUAGCCGCACUUAGGAAGUUAAUGAGUCAGUGGGAGAAUUUCUGCAAGUCUUUCUGAAUUUUUGUUUUUGUUUCGAGCCUUUGUCGCCUCAUUUUUAUAGCUAAAGUUUAUUAAAACAAAUAAAAUGGAUAGUAUACUAUAUUUCUACGAAAAAAAAAAAAACUUAAACGAUUUUGUGUAAAAAAAAUGUGUAGAUAUAUUAUUUAUAUAUCAAGUGGUUGUGAAAAAAUGAAUGGUAGGGAGAGAAUUUCUAAUAAUUUUUAAUGUCUAAUAGUUGGAAUUUUCAUGUUAAAACUUCAUGAAUUAGUGAGUUUCAAAAAGCCCCGGUCUAUAGACCGGGUCCAUACAGUAGCUUUCUCGUCAUCACUUUCACUCUUUCGGUCAUUUUACCCCGUGUAUAUCAUGAGCACGCCACAAAAGUCAAACCGAGGAAGAGUCUUUAAUUUGUGGCUAUUUUUCACUUGCUUACUUAUUAUUGCAAUUUUAAAUCCUUUUUCGUUGUUAGCUCUUUUAUCCUUUUAAUUAGAAAUUUCACAUCCACUUAAAACAAAAAUAAAAUAAAAAUAAAAUAAAAAGUUUUUUUAGAGAACGGUAUAAUACUAUAAUUGUAUUUUUAAAAAACAUAAACUUAGCUUAAAAAACAAAAAGAAAUUUGGUGUUAGAUUGUGUUACGGACGGUGGGUGGUAAAUAAAAUAAAAAGUUGAAUUGAAUACUCCGCCGAAAAUCCAACUGUUUCUUCAACUCUCAUCCUAGUUCAAAAUUGUGAUGCUUUGAAUACAAUUAUAUUUUUAGUUUCUUUUCCACACUUUCACACAAUAGUUGAAGAAGAAGAGUAUAAGCGAAUCCUAUCUUUUGCUUUUCAACUUACCUUAUCUCAACUCUGAGGAAUUGGUAAGUUCUUAAAUAACUUAUAUCUAUACGUUUUGUUCUGUUUUGUUCUCUAUAUAUGUAAAGAUAUGCAAUUUUGGUGGUUUGAGGUGCAGGAAGUGGAUUUCCGUGAAGAAAUCGAGGUUUUGAGAAGUGGGUUGUGGUCAAAAUCGCUUCUGUUGGAUUGGGAGGACGUGUAUAUUUUGAGAAUUUAGCAGGUGGAGAGAGGAACACGAGUGUUUCUAUGGCGAAAUUAUGUUGUUUCAAGGGUUCGUCCUUAAAGGUUAGAAAUUGUUUUCUAUGUUAAUUGAACUAUUAUUUUGGUUCUCUUUUGAAUUGGGUUUAUGAUAUAUGGUCUUUAAAUCCAACAAAUAGUAGUAUAUAUAUAUAUAUAUAAUAUAUAUUAUUUGUCCUGUUGUUUGAGAUAAACCAAGCUUUGAUUGGAUUCAAGUUUCCUCUUUUCUAUAUAUUAUAUAUAUAUUAUAUAUAUUUUUUUUUUUUUAAUUCUUCUACUAUUUUAGGUGAAAUUGAAAUUUUUAUUCGAUUUAGUUUUCAACUCAUCCUCUUUGUUAGGAUGAAAUAAUAUAUGAUGACAGUAAUACAGAGAAUAAGAGUCAAUAAUUCGAAGCGGGUAGCGUGCUACCCUUUCCUCAAAAAAAAAAAGAAAAAGAAAAAGAAAAAAAGUUCGAAGCUUGGUUGCUUCAUUUUAUUUCUAGUUGUGUUUAUUUUAAUUUUUUUUUGAGAAAAGUUGUGUUUAUUUUUUUGAAGAAAUGAACGAAAUGGGUAGCUUGUUAAAAAAAUGGUCAAUAAAUAGGAAAAGAUUCUAUAAUAUAUUCUAAUGGUAGAGUUGUUUGACGUGGUUUUGUAAAUGUUGCUGAACAUUUAACUUUUGUUUAAAAUUUUCACUCUUAGUCUAUAUAAUUUUGUGUUAGCCAUCAAUUUUUUUUCCAGAGUAUAAAGUUCUACAUUUUUUUUUUUUUUUAAAUCUCAUGAUGAGUUCUAUCUCAAGUGAUUCCUGAUGCUAUGAAUAUGACAAAUAGUUAAAUUCAGGCUAAUUGGAGUUCCCUACAUGAAUAUCUAGAUGCUGUACAAUUAAAAUUUAGUGCCAUGAAUUCAAUACUCUGCGGCUUUGGAUUUGUAAUAUAUUUGCCCAUCACUCACAGCAGUAUACAGCAUAUUAUCUCGUUACAUUCGACAAUAGACGAUAUAUUCUUCCUUAACUUUUGUAUAGUUGAUUAAUCAUACUUGAUGAACUCCUCAUAAUCCUUUGUUUCUUCAUUUUCUUCGUGCAUUAGCCUCUGGAUGAUUCUUAUUUUCUAAAGUGGAACAAAAAAACAUCAAUUUUGAAUUGCAUAUUUUGGCAGAGCCCAAGAUUGGUGACUAGUUUUUAAAUGUGUACUUGAGAUGAACUGCAUCUAUUGGCAGAGUUCAGAUUUACCAAAAUGCUGUCGUUGUUGCGAUUAAGCCAAAAUGCUGGCUGAUUUUGAUGUUACAUCGGCAAGCUCAGCUCAAUGCAUUGUUAGCUUUGACACAGGUCGACAAAUAAAUGAUAUAUAAGAGCAGAUGCAAUACUCUUUCAUGAGCUGAAGUAAGGUUCUGGCUUUCUAUUUUGUAGUUAAAAGGUCGUUCUUCGACAGAUGGUGGUAAAGGGAAAAGCAUUCAAAGUGAAGUAAAAGUUAAUUAUGGAUACAGCCUUGUAAAAGGAAGGGCAUAUCAUCCCAUGGAAGAUUACCACGUCGCUAAAUUUGUACAUAUGAAGGGAAAUGAGAUUGGUCUCUUUGGUAUCUAUGAUGGCCAUCUGGGAAAUAGAGUAGCAGCCUAUUUACAAAAGCAUCUAUUUGCCAAUAUUCUGAGGGAGGUAUGCUGCUACUACUCUUUUGCUCUUUAUUUAUUUUUUGGUGGUUCUGUGAAAAUGUAUGGGCCCCCCUUCUGGUAUUUGCUAACAUGUGCGACAACUUUGGCGUUUUGGAUAUGAACCUUUCAAUUAACAUGUUCUUUAAUUCCAGAAAUUUCGUCAGGUUCCAUUCAGAACUUGACAGUUUCUGUCAAACAAGUUACUGAUUAUUCCAAUAAUUAAAGUGAUAUUCUGCAAUCAUACACAAUAUUCCAUCAGAAAGUAACAAAGAUUGUCAAGUUCUGGAAUUUUCUGCAAUCGAACUGCACAUUAAGUUGGAAUCCAAAAAAACUAAAGCUCAGCGACGUGUUCCUUUAAUGGUCGGCUGUUUUUUGCCUUUUCUUUUGCGUAGAGAUGAAAACAGAAUUGCUUGGAAGGAAAGGGAAAAGUGAACUUAAUUUAUCAUUUACUUUGCUGUAGGAAGAGUUUUGGACCCAUCCAGAGCAAGCCAUUUUAAAAGCCUAUGAAAAGACCGAUGAGGCGAUACUUUCACAUAGUGUGGAUCUGGGACGAGGUGGAUCUACUGCUGUUACUGCCAUUCUAGUAAAUGGUAGGAAGCUGUGGGUAGCUAAUGUUGGCGAUUCACGAGCCGUUCUUGCAAAAGGUGGAGAGGUGAUACAGUUGACAGUUGAUCAUGAACCAAGCACGGAGCGUAAAACUAUUGAGACAAGAGGGGGCUUUGUUUCAAACUGGCCAGGUUUCUUAAUCCAUUAAACCAGCUCAAAUCUAGUUUUCUUUGCACUUUGAUAAUGCAUUCUUAUUGGAGAAAUGAUGAAGAUGUUACUUCAUUAAAGAGUUAGUAAAAGAGGAAGAAUAAUUUACCACAAUAAUUAUUUGUGCCUCCAUGUUCCUCGAUAUGAAAAUAGUCGUUCACGAAGAAAUUGAGUGUUAAAAUUUUUUCUUUUCUUUCCAGAAUUUGCUAUGAACUUGUUGGUCUUUCUGUCACCUAAUGAAUCUCGACAAUUUUCCAUUUUUGCUGUUUUUUGUCGCUUGAAAGUGGUGCGGAGUCGUUGUCUUUUCGAUUGUUCAACAAACACUGCACCCGAUAACAAGAAAUUCUAUUUUUGUUCUUUAUCAGGAGAUGUCCCAAGAGUUGAUGGCCAGUUAGCCGUUUCUCGUGCAUUCGGAGACAAGAGCCUCAAGUCACACUUGAGGUCGGAUCCGGACAUACAGUUUGAAGAUACAAGUGCUGGUGCCGAGGUACUUAUUCUUGCUAGCGACGGCCUGUGGAAGGUUUGCUUCUUUAAACUUCAUGCCGCAAUAAACCAAUUUAUAUUUGUUAUGAAAUCCUUUCAGCGAGAGAAGAUAGUUAGUUACUCUUGCCAAUUGUACUUCAGGUCAUGAAAAAUGAAGAAGCAGUGGAUAUUGCUCGAAAGAUCAAAGAUCCACAGGCGGCAGCAAGGCAAUUAACCAAGGAAGCAAUAAAUAGAGAAAGCAAGGAUGAUAUAUCGUGCAUUGUUGUUCGACUUGGGGAAUAAUAAAGAGCUUAGCCUCUUUUUUUCCCCUCUUACCUCUUUUGUAAAUGAUUCUUUCGUCUAUUUUAUUGUUGGUGGGUCCUUAUUGUUUGAUUGCUUAAGGGAAACUUUCAUUUGGUUUUACUAAGAUUAAAGGAAUAGGAAAGAUAAUGGUUGGUGGAACUGUUUACCUUUUCUCCUGAUGUAUUGUUGAAAGCUUGUUGACCAUCUUGUUCUCUUCUUCUUUUUUUUUCUUUUUUUGUUAAAUAAAUGCCUCCUUUUUCUUCUUUUUUUUCCUUUUUCCUCAAAAGCCGUUUGCUCUGAUGCUUGAUUUAUCAAAUGAGAAACCUCUUGCAAUAGAAACUAGCCUAUACUGCAAUGUCUGAUGGAAAGGUGGCGGCGGAAUUCGAUAAAUGUUAAAUUUGCGUUACUAAAUUGACAAUUAUAGACAGUAUAAGAUCAGAGCUUAACAGAAAUUGAAUAAAGAUUUCAUUAGGACUUUUGUGAAUCUGAAAUGGCUCAUAUAGCAAUUUAGGAACUAUCCUCUCAGUGAAAAUAGUAUAAUAAGAACCAGAACUACGACAAACUUGUCAAUAUAAUGUGGUUUCUGAGAGUGGCCAAUUUGUUUUUACAUUUUGAUUAUGUAGAAUUUUGUAGGUUUUGUUUAAACUCCCAGGAAAACAUGAUUACAUAGAAUCUUUACAUUGGCAGGUCAUGCAUUAGGGUGCAUAUCACUCACCACUCUUAGUUCGAAGAGAUGAGAAAAUAAUGAUCACAUAACCAAUGUCCAAAACCCCUCAAAAGUAUAAUCCAUGUCGAAUCAUAGUUUGAUUUACUAUGCUCAUUAACUGCACGAAUACCUCUAAGUAGCAUAAUUGACAUAACCUCUGAUGAAGUUAGAUGUGCAAUGACAUAACCUCUGAAAUAUAGUGUCAUCCAAUUUAAUCACAUUACUUUCCAUCCCUCAGAUGAGAAAAAAAGAAAAACACUUUACAGUACAAUUUCCUUGCCUCUAAAAUUUAUUCCUAUCUCCCACCAGACAAUUCAAUAGCUUCCUGGUGAGACAUGGAGUCCUCUCCCCAGUUUACUCUCCACUGCAUUCUAUCAUGAUCCUGCUUGCGAGCAAAUUCAUGUUGCCACUCCUCCCACCGCUCGGCGAGUCCUUCCCCUUCAAGCAUCCGGACAACUUCUGACAUAGUCGGCCGCUGCUCUGGCGAAGCUUGCGUGCAAAGAAGAGCAAUCUGAAUCAUUGUAUUUACGUCCUCGAUUUCAUAGUUGUUGCUCAAAUUGCGAUCGACAAUGGACUCGACCCGUCCUUCCUUCAGCAGCUUCUUCACCUUUGACAUGCACAAGAAUGUACACAAUCAGUAUAUAUUUCACAUACAACCUCGUACAAACAAGAAGGUAAAAUUUAAUCUGGCAGCAAGGGAUGUCUCGAUUCCCUCUAGAGUAAUCUUCUUUCCGCUGAGGCGCUAUAACUGGAAAAGUGUCACUACAUGCACAAGCCAGGCACUUCACAGCAUAAGUGCUUUAGAGCUUGCGAGGCAAGCUUAAACAGGCUUUUGGACCUCACAAGCACAGUUUGGCAUGAAGGUGUUGAGAAAUUUAAAGGUAAAUUGUAUGCGAAGUCCCUGAACCAUCCUGAUAUUGUGAUUCACUCGUUGGCUUUUCACUUAGACGCUCGUCUCCUUACUUUCUUAUAUAUAGCAACUUCAACCCGGUCACAAAAGGGAAAAAAAGAAAAUCGAUUGUGUGCUGAAUUUUCUCAUACAUAUAGCAUUUUCUCACUUUUUCAUAUACUUUUGAAGUAUAUUGAAACACGAGGAAGUUGCUUUGUAGGAGAACAGAACAAAUGGUCACUUUGCAGGAAAAACUGAGACUUUUCUGACAGAAGGAUGGAACAGCAAUAACAUGGGAAACUCGAGAGGGUGAAGCUGCUCGAGCUUCUUCAAAAGCUCUUCUUCGCUCUUCUUCAACAGCACUUAUGUGGAAGUUGUAGCUGGAAUAGGCAGGUUUAGAGGUAAUGACACAUGGUAAAAAGUUUGCUAUCAUAAGCAAAAAGUAGUACAUGUGUUGAAGUCUCUAUAGUUCUGAGGAAAACUAGGCUGUUUAUCUUGAUUUUAGUUUCAGGAGUAGAAUUAUUCUAUAUAGAUCUUACAAGGUCAAGCAGUAGAACAUCAUCCUCCUCAGGUCGAGAAAUAUCAAUGGCGCGCUGCCCUGUGACGAGCUCGAGGAGCAUGAUUCCGUAGCCGAAAACAUCAGUCUUCUCCGAUGACUUGCCGGUGGAUAGAUAUUCAGGAGCUAUGUGGCCCAUAGUACCCCUAACUUUUGUGGUCACAGAUGUCAUCUUUACGUCCACCAAUUUCGCCAGCCCAAAGUCCCCGACAACCGCCUCAAAGUUCUCGUCAAGUAAGACAUUCGCAGCUUUCACAUCACGGUGGAUGAUUUUGGGGUUGCAGUGUUCGUGGAGGUACUCUAAACCGCGAGCCGUUCCCAGAGCCACUAGUUUUCUUGUUGCCCAGUCUAACACUGGCUCGUUUGGUUUAAACUCUGCACUAUUCUAGUAGUUAAGAUGCAUAAAUUUAAAGAAACAAGCAUAUAGUAACUAAACAACCAGCUAAGAUGUGAGAGCUAAUAAAGCAAGACAUAAAGUACUUGAUGAGGCAAUAUAGAACUUUUAAUGAAUAUGGAGGAAAUUACAGUUCUCGUACGAGAAUCAAAUGAGAAUUUCAGGGAUCUUCUAAGAAUGUGCAGAGACCAACUCAAUUUCAGGGAUCUUCUAAGAAUGCACACUCCUAACUUUGAUUGAGUUAUUUCAAUGAGUUAAAUUAGGGAUUCCUUUCGAAGAGGUAUUGUUAAAUUUAACAGCUCGACUCCCAUUAACAGUAAACAGUUGAUGGCUAAUGGAACCGUUAAGUUUGAAUGAAUCCUCAGUUCAACUGAAAAAAGUUGAGCGGGCAUCAGUCAAAAAUUUAAGUUGUGGGGUAUAUAUCGAAUAGCCGAUAGCUGAGGGAGUCUUCAUACACCUGUUCCCUUCUUGUUUGGAAGGUUGAUGAAAGAAUUAGUACCUCGUAAACGGUAGGCGACACUCAGGUUUUCCAUAAAAGGAUAUACUAAAAGUCUCUCUGUGGGCGUUGUACAAAACCCAAUCAAUCUCAAGAGAUUUCUAUGAACCGCAACACUUAUCAACUCAACUUCACGCAGAAAAGUAGUUUCCCUGCCAGAGCUUUCUACGUCAGUGAAUCUUUUCACAGCAACUUUCCUAUUAUCUGCGAGUACUCCUUUAUACACCUUUCCGAAACCUCCAUGCCCAAGAACAUUUCUCUCAUUGAAGUCGUCAGUGGCAAUUUGCAGUUCUCGCCAAGCAAACCUUUUUAGCUGCCCGAAUGCAAUCUUGCGGUCAUCUUCGCCUAAGAAAUUUGACAUGAUAUAUUAGUCAAAUGAAGUUUAAAAAAAAAGAAACAUUCAUGUUUAACAAUCGAGUUUUUGAAUCACAUCAGGAUCUUAAAGCUGAUAAAGUAAGAAAAAAGCUUUCUCCUAUCCGGAAAGAUGAAUAUACAUGAGAAAAACUCGUACUCGUAAAGCUAAUGGUCAUCUGUGAAAAAAAUAUGAUGAUAGAAUUACAAAGAAGGUUGGUAAAUUAAAAAUGGCAAGAAAACAAGAACUAUUAGAUUGAAAGAUAACAAAACCAAAGUUCAGUAAAUGUCAAAAACUACUUUAGCUGGUCAGUGUAGGCGUGUAAAUUAACUCGAAUAUAGUUAAGCUAAACAAAACAUUCCUGUCAUGCAAUCAAAAUAAUGUAUAAAGGUUAGAGAACCUGGAACGUCGACAAAAAUUUCACGCUUAGAAUGCAUUCUGUUUCUCUUCCAUAAAAGAAGCAGAAUCCCCAUUGUAAGAAACCCUAUUACUCCACCGGUACUUCCAAGUACUACCCCAACUUUAGACUUGUGGGUUCCUCCUAUAAGAUUAAAGUGAAUGACCGUACGGUUUGAUAGCGAUAGCAAUCUCCGCAAUGGAGAAAUGCUUCAGAAGAUAAGAAGGAGAAGCAAGACAAAUAUGCAAAAAGCUGAGAUUUGCUUACCGUGAUCGGCUACAUUGGAUUCACAAGAAUUUGAAGAGUUUUCACCACAAUUUAGAUGGUUACCUGAGAAACUGCACCCAAAACAAGCGUUCAGCUCUGACCAUAGAGAAUCCAAUAAUCCAAAAACAUGAACCUCAACCUUGGUAUAGUGAUUAUGCAUAAACCCCUGGAUUUUCUGACAAUUUUAAGAAACCUUGCCCAUCCUGACCCCCAGACCCUUGUAACGGACUGAUUUGGUAGUCAAUGCAGACAUGAGGUUUCUUAAAAUUGUCAAGAUGUUCAAGAAGUUUCCUGAGAAUUCCCCCCACUAUAGUUCUUAUCACGAAAAACUACUUCUUCGAACAUCUUGCAUCGACAUAUGAUAUCAUAGAGGACAUCCAUACUUGUAUUUGACAACUUGAAAGAGCCGAUCGGGUAUCUGGCCAGCAAGAUUGUUGAAUGCUAGGUUACUGCCAAUAGAAUUCAAAUGCUGCAUCAGCUGGCGCGUAAAUAAUAUUAACAAUUGGCAUAACUAUUCACUACUAAGUUGAUUGAUUUGAGUGAAACUUACUUGUCCAUCAGAACCUUUUUAAAAUAAUUCAUAAAAGACAGCACUACAAAUAACAGCUUACAUGUUGUUCAACUUUGAAAGACCUGAAAAAGAAUCAGGAAUGCUUCCACUGAAGUUGUUCUUACUAAGAUCCCUGUUCAACGUUAUCAUCAACAUUAGACCUUUUAAACAACCAUCUUAAAUGCUGAAAGAAGAAAAUUUCAACAGCAUGUAUUUUUCAGACAAUCAGCCCACUAACAGAAUUUGGAGCUUCGGAAGAUCUCCAAGAGAUGUUGGUAUCUGUCCGGUCAAACGGUUGUUUUCCAGGCUUAAUUCUGUCAAGCUUAACAAAUUUCCAAACUCCUUAGGAAUUCCUCCAGUUAUGUUAUUGUUCUGUAACGACCUGAAUUACAAUAUGCAGAUAAAUGUAUUAUUCAAUAGUUUAGUAGUACGUAUCAGAUACAUUAGAUCUCCAACUUUCUUUGUACUUACAAUACUUGCAAAUAUGUUAAGUCCCCAAUUCUGGGUGACAAGGUUCCAGUGAAUCCAAAAGAAGCCAAUGUUCUAGAAUAUUCAAGAACAGAGAAACAAAGAAAUAUGUUUCAACUUGUUAGAAUGAAUAGAAUACAAUCUUAAACAAAUCGGAGGUGAAUAAGGCAUGAAAGUGAACUUCGUAAUGAAAUUAAGGAGCAAUAAGGCCCAGAAUAUUAGCUCAACUUACACUUCAGUGACCACGUUGCCGCUACAAGUAACAAAAUUCCAUGUGCAAGGACUAACUUGAUUUUGUUUCCAGUUGGGCAGCUGAUUGUCCGAGGCAUUAAGGCUAAGCUUCAUGUCAAAUAAUGCAUCACCUGUUAAAAUUUGGAAUUUUUAUGAGGAUUUUAUGCUAUACUAAGGGGAACAACAAAAAGCUAGUCCCUCAGAAUUGCUCUGCUGAAUAUCUUUAUCAAAUCUUACUAUUCCAGAAAAUAGCCAUAUGUUACUUCAAUUCGAACGCGCCAAUCUCAAUAAGAAAUGUAUGAAAAAGAUCAUCUAACAAACUACCAUAUAUAACACUUUCCAAAAUCAAAAUACCAGUGUCGUCGUCUGCCUAAUUGUUGAACCAAACAGAACACCAGAGGGCUAAAAAAGGCCUUACGUUGACUAUCAGAUGUGACAUAUGAAUCAAGAUACGCCAACAGAAUAAACGUGAAAAACAACUUCAUCCUUCUUGGGUGUAUCUUCACUUCAUUUCAUGAUUUGAUGAACAGCUGAGGCACUCUUAAAACAAGUCCAUGCCGGUGCAAUCACUUGAUCAGGAAGCAGAGAAAACCCUGUAUAAGAUAUGCAAAAGCAAGAAAACUAGAAUCAGUUCUAAAACUAUCAAUAACACAGGAAAAAGUUAUCAACAAUAUAACACGGGAAAAAGCUUCAGGUACUUCUACGUACUCUCCGGUCAUAGUUAUAUCAAAGCUUUCGAGAAUAUUCAUCGGCGCAUCCUCCUUGAAUGAAAUAAGGCUAUUUAUCAAAAAUACAUCACUAAAGCAAAACAAACAAAAAGAGAGAAAACAGAAGAUUACCGCAUGCCGCGACUAGAUCAACAAUCUAAACACACAUUCUCUAGUGUAUGUUUACUGACCCCAGGAAAAGAUUACUAGAAAUAAUGAUGGAAGAAGAUAAUUCAAUCAAAAAAAGAAAAAAUACUGAAGCUCCUUCCAUAAAAUUCAACUCCUAAACAAUCUCCACACAAUUUAAUUAUGUUAGCCCCUCUAAAAGUAAGCGUAGGAAAGCAUAGGGAAAGUAAUUACAUCUAAAAUUCCACUAUCGAAAGUACCAAAAUUUUCCAACGCAGCAACAUCUCUAAGCUUCUGCGCUCGUGUGUGGAAGUGAGAGAACACGAAUACGAGAAGAGGAAGUCCAAAAACAGAAGCCACAACUUUGAGUUAGAGGGAGAGGAGGAAGAACAAAGGAUAUCUUUGUUUUACCCCAAAACUGGUGUAUACCUCCUGGUGGAGCCAAUGGAACUCAAUGCCAUGUUUCCCGCAACAUAAAGGAGGACACAGAACGAAAAGAAAAGGAGUUACUAACAUGUUAUUACCAGCUAAAAACUUAAUAAUUAAUAUUUAAACUCUUAAAUUUAAAAUUAAUUUAAUUGAAAAUUUUUCCAUAUUAUUAAUCAAUAAAAUGUAAAAGCAGCUUUAAGUUGUCCGAAGUGGGACUUUAACAAUAAUAACUUUUCGUGGAAAUGGAAGGUUUGAAAUGCUUUGGGUUCCACGAGUGGUCCCUGCUAGUAAGUUGGUAUUCUCACGUCCACAUUUUGUAUAAUAUUUUUUUGAUAAAUUGGAAACACAAACUUAAAUAAAUAGGAUAAAGAACUAAAUAAAACGAAGAAUCUAGUGUGCUUCAAUGCGGGACUAAUUGCUUUGUAUUAAAUAAUUUUUCGUUCCAAAGACCUAAACGAGGCUGCUUGAACAAGCACAUCUUUGGAUGUGACUAUGUGGGAAUCCAGCAGGGGAUGUGAGUCACGUGGGAACCUGGUACAAUUAUUGUGUGCAUUUUUGUUGUGAAUGUGGAAUAUAUAGUUAUAAUAUGAGCUCUGCCAUAAUGUGUAACGUGUGUUUUUCUAAUAUGGCGGCUUAUGGCGUACGCCGGAGCGAAUCCAUGAUUUUCCAUGAAUUUUGCAAUUUGUCCCGAUGAGACAAGAAGAGAAUAUAUAUAUAUAUAUAUAUAUAUAUAUAUAUAUAUAUAGUUCGACUAUAAUAUUUUUGAAACCGUAAAAGAAUUGAUUCUUGUGAAUUUUUUAAUCUUUGGAGAUCUUUGAUAAUUUCUAGAAAAAGAGAGGAGGGAGUCCAUUGGAUGGGCCACAUGGUGUCCAUCUGCAUCUUGAUGCCUAUAAAAUUUUUGUCCCAAUUUUUGAAUGUUGGAUUAAUUUUACUUUUCUAAAGGGAUUAUUAAAUUUUAGGAGAGAUAACUAAAUUCUAAUUGCUAUUAUCUCAAUCCUACCAACUCUUUUAUAUUUUCGAAACUAUAGUAACUCUACACACUCUCUCUAUAUAUAGAGUAAGACUUGUGUGCUAUGAGGAGCACGGAGAUAAUCGUAGUCCUAAGCUGUUUUCUAUGAUAGGACUUUCAAAACGACGAUCGUUUCUAUAAGAGUUGAUUUAGCAUAUUUGAGAUAUUUACAAAAUAUUUUUUGCAAAUUUUCAAUAUUAUUUAUCUAAUGGUCAAAACGAUUCAAAAUCAAUAAUUUUUAAUAAUUGAUGUAUGCCAUUUGCAAGUUUAACGGUAUAAAGUAUUCAAAUUAGAUGAAAUUUUAAUAAAAAAUUAUUUAUACUAUUUAUUGUAAGAUCAAUAUCUCUAAUCGAAAAUUUUAGUAUUAUAUCAUCACUUUUUGUGAGAUUUUUAUUUUCAGCCGUUGAUUUUGAACCCUUUCGAUCGUUAGGUAAAUGAUACUGAAAAAUCGCAAAAUUUAUUUUCCAAAUAUUUCAAAUAUGCUAGAUCAAGUUUAACAGAGUGAAUCAUCGAUUCAUAAGCUCCAUCAUCGAAAAUUGUUUAGGAGCAUGGAGGCCUCCGUACUCUUAAUAACACACAAGAUCUAUUUUAUAUAUAUAUAUAUAUAGAGAGAGAGAGAGAGAGAGAGAGAGAGAGAUUUGGGCUAGAAUACUAUUAAUACUAUUUGCCCCCUUUUGCUAUCAAAGUUUUAACCAUUAGAUCAAGCCCUUUGAUCAUUUCUAACUAUCGGAUUAAAUAUUAUAACCAAGAGGGGACCACUCAACCAUAGGGAGACCAUUCAAUUCUAAGGGACUAAUAUCAUACUAAUCCUACAAUUAGCAAAAAAUACCAAAUACUAUCAAUAGUAUUCCAGCCUAACUCUCUCUCUCUCUCUCUCUCUCUCGACAGUAUCCCAGCCUGACUCUAUAUAUAUAUAUAUAUAUAUAUAUAGGACUAGAAUUUGCAAUUUUUGAAGGAGACUUUUGGUCUUACUGGAAUAAUUGACUUGAGAAGUGCUUUAGAAAAGUUAUUAAAAGAAACACAAGCAAUAAUUUAAUUACAAAAGUUUCAUUUGGACUUGAUCAAUAAUUGACUUGAGAAGUGCUUUAAAAACGUUAUUAAAAAAACACACAAGCAGUAAUUUAAUUACAAAGUUUCAUUUACUAUAAGUUUGUAGAAUCAUAAAUUCUAAACGAAAGCUUUAGGUGUUACGAAGAUUUGUUGCUGCCGUAAAAUUUUUUAAACUUUUGUUUUGCCAAAUAUCUGAUUCUUAUUUUUUAAAACCUAUUUGGCCAGUGUAUAAACCGUACAAAAUAAUAGAAUGCUUUGGAGCACCUGUGUCCCUGCUAGGGCUGGCAAACGAGCGAGCCGGCUCGCGUUCGACUCGUGUUCGGCUCGAUAUUCGGCUCGCUCGAGCUCGACUCGAAAUUAAAUGAGCCGAGCUUGAACAAAAUAAAAGGCUCGAAAUUCAUUUCAAGCCGAGCUUGAGUAUUACUCGGCUCGUUCGAAUUAGGCUCGAAAAGCUCGACAGCUCGAAUAUAUAUAUAUAUAGAGUUGAGCUGGAAUGCUAUCAGUAGCAAACGGGCUCCGUUGUCACCCAUUUGUUUUCGAUGAUGAAGCCCUCAAAUCGACGAUCGGCACCGUUGAGCAUGAUCUAUAUUACUUGAAGUAUCUAGAAAUUAAAUUUCAAAUAUUUUCGAUAUCAUUGACCUAAUGAUCAAAGGGUUUCAAAAUUUGUAAUUUUAAUGGUCGAUGUGAGGUGUUUUCUCGUUUAACGGUGUAAAACUAUCCAAAUCAAUUGAAUUUUGGUUAGAAAAUUCUUUAAACUAUUUAGAAAAGAUCUACACCCGAUCUUGAUUACAAAUCUAUCAUCACUUUUUAAGGAUAUCAUUUCAGCGCGUUCAUUUUUACGCCCACUUGAUGAACGAGAGAACAAUACGGAAAAACAUGAAAUUUGAUUUCUAGAUACUUCAAGUGUAUAGAUCAUUUUCAACGGUACGCGAUCGUCGAUUUGGAGCUCCAUUCAUCGAAACAAAUGGGUUGGCAACGGAGCCCGUUUGCUACCGAUAGUAUUCCGGCUCAACUAUAUAUAUAUAUAUAUACAUAUAUUAUAUACUAUAUAUAUAUAUAUAUAUAUAUAUAUAUAUAUUAUAUAUUAGAAUUAGCUGGAAUACUAUUAAUAGUAAAACACUCUUUUGCUACUCAAGUUUUUAACUCUUGGAUGAAAAAUUGUAGGUCGGGAUGAUAUUAGUCGAUUAGAGUUGAGUGGUCUCCCUAGGGUUGAGUGGUCCCACUGGGUUAUAGUAUUUAAUCCAAUGGUUAAAAUAAUGAAAAGAGUUGAUUCAAAAGGCUAAAAAACUGUAGCAACAAUGGGAUUUUGGCUACUAAUAAUAGCCCAGUCCAACUCUAUAUAUAUAUAAUGUAUUUUAAUUAUAUAUAUCUUUAAUUAAUUUGGCCAUUAUUGUUGGCCCAUAAAAAAUAAACCAACAAGUACAACCGUGCAUUGAGCCCAACGCUAAAUUACAUAACACACUCUCUCUUUCAGACUUUUACUAUUGCACAUAACCCUAAACAUGAUAACAUUCAAAUUCCCAAAUCCCCAAUUUUUUCCCUCUCUCUCUCCUCUCCUCUAAAUCCUCACCUAGUCAGGCAGUCCCCCUAGCUCACAUUUCUUACAAUUAUUUGAUUUGAACUAUUGAAAUGUUACAUCAAAUUAUAGUAAUGUUCUAUAAAAAUUAAACUAUUGAUUAUAUAAUGUUGACAAUUCAAUCGGUCGCUUAGAGCUCGAGCUCGCUCGACUCGAAAUUAGGCUCGCUCGAGCUCCGGCUCGAAUUAAUUUCAAGCGCAGCUUGAGCCUAGAUUUAGUCGAAAUUAAUUCAAGCGAAUUUGAGCUGACAUAAGCUCGCUCGAGCUCGCUCGUUUCCACCCCUAGUCCCUGCUUAUUGAUAUAAUAUAUAUAUAUAUAUAUAUAUUAGUAUAUAUAUAUAUAUAUAUAUAUAUAUUUUAUAAUAAAUGAUCAUAGUUACUUGAAUCUAAAUUCAUUUCAAUUUAGCCAUUUGGAUCCUAAAUUUUAAUUUAUAUUUUUCACAAUAAUCGGUCGAUAGGUAAUUAAAAUAAAUUAAAAAAUUACAUAAUUAGUUCUAUGUUUAAACUUUGGAUUCAUUUGAAACUGGCUACACCAACUUCAACACUUUUUAUUGUAACCUCUUUUUUUUUAAUUAAGUCAUCUUAGUAAAAACAAAUUAAAACAAUAUCAAAUUCAGUCAUUAAUUUAUUAAUUUUUUGGUUUUAAUUACCUUUGGCAAAGAAAAUUAAAAUAACUAAAUAAUAAUAGAUAAUAAAAUUAUUAAAGUUUUUAAAAAGCAGUACGUGUUAAACUUGAAGCCCACAACUUGUCAGAGGCCCAAAUUCUCGUGCCAUUAACUUCUAAGGCCAGCUUUGGAUGCCGCAGUUAGUUAUUUGAUAAUAACUUACUCGGUAUGAAUAAUUAAGAGACAGAAAUUUAUGCAUUAUUUUUUUUUGAAGAAUUUGGCAUCUGUGAUUUGAUAUAAUUUUACAAAGUAAUUCUUUUUCAUCUAAAAUAGUUACUUGAAGAUCAAAUAUAAUAUUCUAUUUUAAAUAUUUAAUCAUACUUUUAACUUUUAAUUAUAUUAAAAAAUUAUAUUAAAAUAAAAUAUAUUAUGAAAUAUAAAUAUAUAAUAAGUUAUUAUUAUGGUAUCCAAGAUUCCAAGUCCAAGGGGCACACAAGGUUAAAACAAUUGUAACCUUUAAAACGGCUUCAGUAAAAUUCAAGGAGUUGUCGCGUACCUUUCCCACUUUUCUAUAGUGAUGCGGCUGCUCAACGGCACGAUGCAUGUAUGAUGUUCCGCAGUACUACUAGCCUGUGGGCCCCGCCAUUACUUAACUCUACAGAACGCAUCCGGCCAAUCAGAUCGAACUAUUCCGCCCAACCCACCUUACAAAUUCCCGUCACGAAACCCCAAAUUCCGACUCCCUCUCGGAUCGCCGGCGCCGGCGCCGGCGCCGAAGCAGCAGCGAUGCCGCGGUGGCUGAGCGUGACCGCGGGGCGCGACCGCUGCUACCGCCGAUCGUUCACGGCGGCGGGGCUCCGGCCGUCCACGACCGGGCUCGGCGACGGGGCCACCGUGCACCUCUGGCUCCCCCGCCGGCCGGACCCCUCCCGGCCCGCCCUCCUCCUGCUCCACGGGUUCGGCGCCCUCUCCACGUGGCAGUGGGCCCCCUACCUCCGGCCCCUCACCCGCGCCGGGUUCGACCUCUACGUCCCCGACCUCGUCUUCUUCGGCGGCUCCUCCACCCCCGCCCCGGCCCGCUCGGAGUCCUACCAGGCGCAGUGCGUCAUGGCCGCCAUGGACGCGCUCGGCGUGGCCCGCUUCGCCUUGGCCGGGGUCAGCUACGGCGGCUUCGUCGGGUACCGCCUCGCCGCCAUGUACCCGGCCGCCGUCGACCGGGCGGUGCUCAUCUGCGCCGGCGUCUGCCUCGAGGAGCGCGACCUCGCCGCCGGCCUCCUCGCCGUCUCCGACGUCGCCGAGGCCGCCAGCCUCCUCCUCCCGCAGCGCCCCGACAAGCUGCGCCAGCUCGUGAACCUCACCUUCUCCCGCCCGCCCCCGCUCAUGCCCAAUUGCUUCAUCCGAGAUUACAUUCAGGUACCACGCAUCUCUCGUAAUUUAGCCUCGUCCACGGCCGUGGCUAUGCGUAUUAUGCUCUUGUACUAAUAUUAGCCUUAUAAUCUGGUGAAAACAUAAGAGAGAAUUAUAAUGAUUCCGAAGCUUCUGAAGUUUUCCACGGUUCGUGCAGCAGUCGCGCUCCGUGAUCGGCCGAUAGUUAGCUUAUCCGUUCGAUUUGUGGCAAAUGACAGGUUAUGUGCACGGAGUAUGUGAAAGAGAAAACAGAGUUGCUGCAUUCUUUAGUCAACGGCAGAAAACUUUCCGAUCUUCCUACAAUAACGCAGGUAUUCAGUUUUAUAUUAUGCAGAAGAAACUCGCUCCUCACAUUAGACCUGCAUUCAUUUGGAGCUUGCGCCUCUCUCACUCGACAUCUUUGCAUGCCGGUUUUUAACAUCACAGGUUUCAUUUUUGCAGCCAACCUUGAUAAUCUGGGGAGAGGAGGAUCGUGUGUUUCCCCUAGAGCUUGCUUUCAGAUUAAAGAGGUAUAACCAGUGACUCAUUGGUUGUCUACAGGUUUUUUUCAACUUUGAAAGUACACUUAUUAAUCUUCAGGCAUUUGGGGGAGAAAUCUCAACUAGUAAUCGUCAAAAAUGCCGGGCAUGCGAUUAAUCGCGAGAAACCGAGAGAGGUUUGCAAGCUUAUAAGAAACUUCUGCGUUGAUUCCUCUGUAAAAGUCCGCGACAGGCACAAGGUACGAGACUUAUUCUUAUUAUGUUUAUUCAAUGAAGCAGUGCGAGGGGCAGACGUCAGAGAUGAAGGCAAGACCUGAAUGGGGGUUGCAAUGGAGCAAACUUUUUGUGCAAUCCAAAUUAUCAAUUUGAAUCCUCUUUUCAAACAAUUGUACUCACUCAUUUGUAUUCCUUAAUUCAUAGGUAACAUGGAGUAACGUCAUAAGAAGAUUUGAGCGUUCAAGAUUGAGGAGGAUUGAUUCUGGGCGCCCGCUGCUUUAGAGCUGCUAUGAAGAAAGAAUUUACUUCUGGCCAGUAUAAAAGGUUCGGCAUCUACAAUUGUUUUAACGUAACCUUGCAUAUUAGGGCAAUGUCCAUACACCAAUUUCUCAAGUGUAAAUGUUUUUAACAGUUACUCGUGUUUGAGGUUUAUAAUCAAUAUACUAUUCACCUGAUCUGUGCUUUAUGAUUGAUCUACGAGAAUUACAUUCCGUGUGAAGUAUGAAAUGUUAGUCAAAUACUUUAGGUUCAUGUAGUAAUAGGUAUGCAGUGAGCAUAUGCAAUAUAGCCAUAUAGGCAUAUGCUGUUUGAGCUACUCUGAAUGUAUGCAGAUGCAGAGAUGUUUUUAUAAGAGAAUUGUUUAAGUGCAGCAGCUCUUGACUAGCUCUAUUGGUGAAUUCGAUAUGCACGGGUGAUUCCUUUUUCGUUUUUUGUUUUUUUUGUCCAUUUUGCUUGUAGGAAGUGCUUAUUAUAUGUGAUUGUUUGGGCACCUCUCAACCAAAUUAAAAGUAUGUGUUAAUCCUCUGAAAUCUAGUGCAAGAUUUGUUAUCAUGAAGUAACUUAAAAUUGCAUAUAAGCUGGAGUAGAUAAACACACAUUACUUGCGCUUGAGAGUUUUGGUAUCAUGUUAGCUAAAAACAAGUUAAACACCCGUUAUAACGGUGCAGCUGCAAUAGGAAGAGUCUUGUCUCUGAGUUGAUGAGUAGUACCGAUAGUUUGUGGAAUGCAUUGAAGUGUUGAACCGAAUCCAACAUAAAAAAGAAAAUGUCAGAAAUUAAAUCGUAUCUUCUGUUGAUUGGGUGGUCUUACUUUUGUUGAUUCCAAGCUUCUUAUGAUACGUUUGGUAUUGUUAGGAAAUGCUUGAUUGCUGUUUUGCCUGAAACAGUUGAGACAUUAAGAAACUAAAAAGGAAAUUUUCUAUUUACUGUGCUAGGACAUCAAAAACUCAAUUCCCCAUGGCACCUUUCCCAUAUGCUAAUUGGAGAUUAGUGUUUUAAAACCACACUUCGGUGUUGGUUGUUAGUCACGGUUCAAUGGUUUAACAUCGGUCCAACCCGACAGGUUAAAACAACAUUCUUAGACCUCAAAUUUUAUAUUUAAAAUGAAGUUACUAGUAAAAUAAUCGAGGUUACAAGAAAUCAAGAGUAUGUUUACAUAAAGCAAAAUAAAUAAAUAAAUUGUUUUCCCUCUCUUCGUGUUUAAUUUUAAACCAUUUUGACUUGUCGAAUUGGGGUUGAACCCCACAUAUUGUAUUCUUCGGCCCACAAAAAGUAGAUGCAAUAUACAGGCAAAAAAUUGGCAAAGGGUUUGGUGGUUGAUAUCCGAGACCAAAGUUCGAAUUCUAGUUGAUUCACACUUUUAGCUAAGUUUAUUUUUAAAUGAAAUAAACGAAGCGGAUAGCAUGCUACCUAUGUAUCAAAAAAAAAAAAAUNAAAGAAAAAAGGGAAAGUGACUCGACUCUAUCAAUUAAUUAUAGUAUAAUAAUCCUAUUAUUCUUGUCUCCUUGCUUUAGUGAUGUACACAAAGAGUAUACUAACAAAGCAAAAGGUAUAUUUGUUGCUCGUUUAAUUAUCUAUCUGCCAUUGCCAUUUUUCAUCUGAUUGAAAAAAAAGAAAGAGAAAAGGGAAAGGGGAAGAGCAAUAAGAUGCUCUUCCCCGUCCACCUAAUUCGGGGGCGGGAGCAACGGCUUUCUCGUUUUAUCCCCCACAUUCGUACCCACCCAUUGAAAAACCCCCCAUCAGCAUCCAACAAACCCUAACUACCCCCCGAAUCCCCUCCGAUCUCCGCCUCAGAUCCAAUCGCCCCCGCCGCCGCGGCGCCACGACCGCGAUCGGGAUGGGGAGUUGCCUGAGCGUGACCGUGGCCCGCGACCGCUGCUACACCCGCGCGUUCCGGGCGGCGGGGCUCCGGGCGACGGACGUGACCCUCGGCGACGGCGCCACCGUCCACAUCUGGGUCCCGCGCCUCCCGGACCGCUCCCGCCCCGCCCUCGUCCUCCUCCACGGCUUCGGCGCCACCGCCACGUGGCAGUGGGCCCCCUACCUCGGCCCCCUCCUCCGCGCCGGGUUCGACCUCUACGUCCCCGACCUCCUCUUCUUCGGCGGCUCCUCCGCGCCGGGGCCCGACCGGUCGGAGUCGUACCAGGCGCGGUGCGUGGUGGGGGCCCUGGACGCGGUCGGGGUGGGCCGGUUCGGCCUGGUCGGGGUCAGCUACGGCGGGUUCGUGGGGUACCGGGUCGCGGCCCUGUACCCGGGCGCGGUGGAGCGGGUGGUGCUGAUAUGCGCCGGGGUGUGCCUCGAGGAGCGCGACCUCGCGGCGGGGCUCUUCGUGGUGUCCGACGUGGCGGACGCCGCGGGGAUCCUGCUGCCGCAGCGCCCGGAGAAGCUGCGCCAGCUCGUGCGGCUCACCUUCUGCAGGCCGCCACGUGUCAUGCCCACCUGCUUCAUCCGCGACUACAUCCAGGUAAGCUGGGGCUCAGCCCCGCCCCCUCCCCCCCACGGGCCCCACCCUCAGUGGGCCCCACAACCCCCUGUGCACGCGAAAUUAUUGGUCGUUUUGCUGCUUGGAAUACAUUGCCUAAUCAUUGGUCAGAAAUUACUGGGAACGUUAAACGUGUCACGAUGCAAAAAAAAAAAAUAAUAAUAAUAAACACGGUCGACACACAUGCACGUGGGACGGCACGCUUUUAAAGUUCACGUGUCAUCAUUUCCACCCUGGGAUCUUACAGUUUGGCGCCGUAGACCAGCUUGUUAAGAAGAAUAAAGAAGCAAUUGACCAUUUCGAGCCUCCGAAUUCGUAAGAUUCCGCGCCGUUACUCUUUGUCGCAAUUUUGAACGGUGGUCGCCCGAUUUACGCGCGAGAUUAUAUAUUAUACUAUUAGUAGUGAUCCAUAUUUAAAUAUUGAAUCACUACUAAUAGUAUAAAAUUAUAUACAAUUUGCAUCAAUCUUAGCCUUGUAAUUUACCGUUCUCGAAAGAAUCUGAAAAUUCAAAAUAGUAAUUUAUCGUUCCCGAAAGAACCUGAAAAUUCAAAAUAGUUGUUAAAAUUCGGAUGCCGAAUUUUACGACAAUAAAUUGACAGAUAAUAUAAAUUAUUAUAUUUCUGAAAUAAAAUUAUAUAAAUUAAACAAAUGGUUGCAAAUUUCAAUCCUAACCCCUGGAAUAGCUACAAUACAAGGAUGAUUUCUCAGUCUCAAUAAAAAAAAGCCACUAAAAAAUAUAAAUAAAUAAAAAGUAAAAAUCCAAACUUAUGGGCUAACAUAAUAUAUGAGGAAACUCAAAUUCUCCGUGACACUUCAAAAUCCAUUUCAUUUUACCAAUUAGUUUAGAUGAACUUUUUAUAAUUUAAAUAAUUUGAUAGUAUUGAUCGUCCCUAAUACAAAUGACAAAGGAUUUGAUGGUUAGUGAUCGAUGUCAUAGAUUCGAAGUUUAGUUGCUUUACAUUUUCAGUUAAGUUUAUUUUAAAAAAAUAAACAAAAUGAAUAGCAUGUUACUUCUCUCUCUAAAAAAAAAAAAAACAUGUCUUAACCUAUUAAAGAAACAACGAUAGGUCGAACUAUGACCAUAACAAUGUAGUGUUUGUUAAGUGCAAACACUAAUUAAUGGCUACCAAAUCACUCCACUUAAUUUCCGAAUUGUUCAUUAGCAAGGUCUCUUGUUUCAGCAGUGACAGGAUUUAUCUAGAAGGUUAUUUUGUGAGGUGAAUUUUGUCGACAAUGGCAGGUUAUGUGCAGAGACUACGUGAAAGAGAAAACUGAGCUACUACAUGCCUUGAUACAUGAUAGAAAACUUCCUGAUCUACCCAGAAUUACCCAGGUAAACUUAGCAUCUAGUCACAUUAAUUUGCUCUUCUUCGUCAAAUUAACUAUGUUCUUACAUAUAUAUAUUUCUGAAACCCUCCAUAUAUUGUCUGAAACAUCUUUUGACCAAGUUCUUGUGAUGAUAUGUUCCUCUUAAUGCAGCCAACCUUGAUAAUAUGGGGCGAGCAGGACCGAGUGUUUCCUCUAGAACUAGCUCAUCGAUUGAAAAGGUAUCGUUAGAAUAUAUUGGAGAUAGUUUUCUUCUUUCCCUCCGAAGUUCAUGUUUGAAUUUCUGCUUAGUGUUACAGGUAUUUAGAUGAGAAUUGUCAGAUGGUAGUUAUCAAGAACGCUGGGCACGCGGUUAAUCUUGAAAAGCCUAAGGAAGUUUGCAAGCAUAUACUCGCAUUCUUUCUUGAUUCCGGCUCCCCAGAUAUCUACAACGGGCACAUGGUAAAUCUUCUUUCUGUUCUGAUGUAACAUUGGAUUCGUUAAACCUUGUCAGUAAUGCUUGUUUUUACGCUUUAAUAGAGUAUCGUAUUGUCAAAAUGGAAGCAUUGUUAAUUUGUUCGUAUAUCUACGUCGCAUAAUAGUAACAAUUAAGGCACCAUUAAUUGUUAAUUCUUUUGUUCUGUUUUUUUAAUUUUUGGCAGGUAUAAUGGAUUGAUGUUUAAGAACACUUUCAAUGAAUUUGUACCAGACAAGCAUCGCUCAGAUAACUGAGAUACAAUAUUUGUUCCGAUAGAUUGUUGAAGAGUAUUAUUCAUCUCAAAAUAUUCAUUUUCAAAAAGAUUUGAAUCGGGAAAUGCAUCGACGAAAGUUGCUAUGGACUGCAGAUGCCUCCUUACCGCAGGCUCCAGCUGCAAAUUUUAUGUGAUUUAUUUAUGCAUGAAAUUUGAGUUUCAGACUUUCACGAUGAUUUUGUAUGCAGAUUAUCUGAGGGAGAUCACUCAGCUCGCCUACGUAUCAGUUUAUAUUUCGACUACUCUUAUGUUUUGGUUUUGUGCUUUGUCUAGCUUUAUGUUUUGGUUUUGUGUGCAUCAGAAGGAGGUAAGUAAAUUUGCUGCUGCUAAACUCAUCAACAGCUUUCAUUGAGACUAUUUAAGUAAACUUUUUAUCAGAUCAGUCCCCUCGAUAUCCAAAAUUUUCAAGGGUUAAAAUCCAGUAUUUCAUAUGUGCUUCGGAAAAGAUUACUCACUGCUGACAGAUUGCUAACUCGCGGAUUGAGAGUGGAUCAACACUGUGUCUUCUGCGCUUUCAACACAAAAAAUUGCGAUCAUCUAUUCACCAACUGCAUCUUCACUCGUUACCUUCUACUUACCUCAGAGGGGCAGGGUUCGUCGACCGAUGCUCCAGGGGACAUUCGAGAACUAUGAAACCUAACUGGCAACACCUCCGACGUUGCUCUGAGAUCAAAACGCUUAAUCCGCUUAGUUGAAAUCUGGUGGAUCGUGUGGACGGAAAGAAAUAACUCCAUCUUCCAAGCAAAGUUUCACAACGUCCUUCAUUCUUCCGAAAAGCUGAGACGGUUGUUGUCCGAUUGGUCUGCGCAUCUCUGACCACCUGCUUACCAUCUUUCGCACAUUUUUUAUUUUAUUUUCCUUUUGAUUUUUAGUUCCUGUUUUUUUUCUCCUCUACUGUUGCCUUUCUACCCCUCAGAAGCCUUAGCUGCUUCCACCCUGUAACACUUAGCUUAGUUCACUUUCACUUAAUAAAUGAAGCAGAUAACUUUGCUACAUUUUUUUCAAAAAUAAUAAUAAUAAUAAUAAUAAUAAUAAUUAUCUUUUUGUGUUUAGUACACACUCCAUGAUUUAUUUAAUCUCCAUUACAAAGUUAUCGGAUAUGUUAUAAAAACGUAAUUCAAAAUCAGAUAUUCUUCAAAAUCAGAUAUUCUUGCACAAUCGUUGCUUCAAUCAGCUGGUUGGUAUCCUUCAUGCCAGAUUGUAAGCAAGCAUCUUCACAAACAAACACAAAGGGGGGGGGGAGCAAUUUAUAGCGAAAAAGGGAUUCAAACAGUAGGAGCCUAUCAAUCAAUUAGUCAAAAAUGGCACUUUUAAAGCUCCAUUUGAAUUUAAAGGAAAAAAGAGAGCAGAAUUUAAUUUCAUAACUAAGAUUAUUCCAAACUAGCACCAUUACAGAAGGCUCUGGAUAACAGUAACAUGCGACUGAUUAGCGGAAAAAAAAGAAAAAAAGAAAAAAAAAAAAGAUAAAGAAAAUAAACUGCGGUAGCCAUUUGAGUUCAAAAACUAGUGCUUGCACAACCUUAAAGGGAAAACAUAGACACACACCAACCGGUUAAGGAAAAAAGAUGACUACCUUGGUGGCGAUAAAAAGAAAUUUCCGAGCUACUGGGUUUCCGCAUUAGCAAGAGUUUCACAGGUUUCACAUUCACAUUGAUAGCUUGCCCAAAUUUACUCCUGCUAUGAGCAUCCAAACAUAUAAAAGUUCAGUGACAUCAGAGCACGGAAUAUAUGUCCAUAAGAUCUUAACGAAUGAAUUGCCAUGAUUUAUAUCGGUAAAUAUGACGUAUAUUUUUGAAAAUCUGAGUCGGAGCGGCAACAAAUGUGGCUAAUAGAAGCUUUUUUACUUUGUUAAAUUUUGUUGUAAACCAAACUGCAGUGCGUAGUUCAAGGUUUUAAGUGCCCGUCGGCACGGGCCGUAUCCACCGUGCCGUACCGUGCCAAUAAGACAUCGGCACGAUACAGACCCCGUGCCGAUGGCACAGCUCAAAAACCUCUAUUCUUUAAAUUAGUAAGUAAUUUCCUCAAUAAAGUUUAAAAGAUGCGAUAAAAAGACAUAAUAAAUAGUUAAAAUAUUUUGUUGCUAAAAAAAAUAAAUAUUUCAUACUAUUAUGUGUCGGCACACAAGAAUUUUUUUGACCGGCACGCAUCGGCAAGACUCGGCACGCACCGUGCCGUACCGUGCCGGCAAGUUUCCGGCACGACCCAGUGCCACGGCACUUAAAUCCUUGGCGUAGUUACCGCUGUGAACUAUGGGAAUUUAAGACAAACUUGAGGUAACUGAAUGAGCAUAUAAAAAAAAUUGAUAUUCGUGUAUCCAAUACCGGAGCCAAAGCAGCCGGGCCUUUACUUUAAGCUAUUCGUGUUCUAUGUGUGGAUCUUAGUCCUCUGUUCAACUAUGUUUUGGCCAAACCAAAUUGACGAUUCUCACCUCAAUAUCCAUGUUGGUCGCCUUGGAAUGUUCGCCUGCAAAAAGAAUAGAAUGUGUUAACAAUUUAGACACAUAAAAGUAUUAUAAGCUAUCGUUACACAAAUUAUGGAGUGAAAGAAAUGAGUUACACUAGGCAUUUUGAGGCAAUUGAUCAAGUGUCGGGAGUUUUAUUGUUACUGAACAGUAGUGUUAUAACCAAAAAGAAAAAGGAAAGGAUAGCACAUGUUGCUGCAGCUCCAAGUACAGCCACAGCUACAGUGGGCACAUGGAACAUGAUUUGCCAUAUACGCUGACACUAAUACUUUGAGACAAAUACUUUCAGGUGAAGUUGUUGCAUGUGUUAGGAUGUCAAAAAGAUAAAAGAUGCAACAUGAGAGCUGCUGUAACAGAAGAUUGUUCCAUAUGAUAUUACCUCCUUCCUCUGGCAGGUCUGAGGUCCACAAUGUCAGAUUGUCCUUGAGAAGCCGCAAAAUCAGUGCGCUGUCCUUGUAAGAUUCCUCACUGAGGGAGCUGAGUUCCGUAAUAGCCUCAUCAAACGCUUGUUUAGCUAGAUGACAUGCUCUGGAAAAGGAAGGACAAAACACAAAUUGUACAUAAUCCAAAGCAGCAGAGACAUGCGUGCUUGCUGUCCAUUUCUAUCUUAAAAUCACCACACGUAACUCAACAUGCAUGCUUAAACAGUUUCAAUUAGUUCACUGAAUUAUGAAGUUAAGAUAAGUAGAUAUUGUUACUAUUUACUGCAUAGAAUAUAAGCAGCGGGCCGCAUAAGGCACACAAUGCCAAAUUUCAUGCUAGAACUUAAAUGCACCAGGAAUAAUCAAUAAGCAAUACAUAAUAAUACAAAUAAAACAACCAAAGCAGACCUCUCAGGCGAGUUCAGUAUCUCAUAGUAGAAGACUGAGAAAUUAAGAGCGAGGCCAAGUCUGAUUGGGUUGGUUGGUGGAAGAUCAGUCAUUGCCGUACUUGUAGCUGCCUGAAGGAUCAUCAUCAGCUUGCGAUGUAACAAAAAUUUAUGCAUCAUAAGCUUUAACUCUACAAGAUUGAUAAACUACAACUUUCUAACAGGAUUAAGUCGAACCUGAUAAGCUUUAACCGACUGAUCUGCGAACUCUUUCCUGUCAUUCCCGGUCUUAAACUCGGCCAAGUAUCUAUAGUAAUCCCCUUUCCUAGUAUGGGACAGAGAGAAGUAACUUUUCAUUUUCGAAAAUUCACUCAAGUUCUGUUAACAGAACUAAAAAAGUUUUCACCAAAAAGGUGCAGAAUAUUCAAUCAGGCAUGAAAACACUACAUUUGUUAGAGUUAAAAAUACUGAUAAGUUCCAAGUAAGAGGUACUGGAAAUUCAAACAUGAAACUGGGUUGGGUUGUAAAAUUAUUGUUCUUUGAGGUUCGGACAUCCAGUUCAAAAUGUUGCUGUAAAAGAAAGGAAAAACAACGCGCAUAACUCGCGAACUAAACGUACAUCUUAUAAAAGAAGACAAUGGAUUCACCAGUAGUGGAAGAUGGGAGGAGGUGGAUGGCGAUGAUGGACAAUAUGUCGUUGGAUAUCUUCGCGAGCUCAUCUUCAACUCUCGUCAAGUACUCUUUUAUCAUCUUGACGUUUUGUUCACUCCCUUCUUCCGCUUCCUUCUGCACGAGCGAAGAAAGGAUCCUCCACGACGCUCUCCUCACGCCAAUCACAUUCUUAUAGCCAACCGAGAGUAAGUUUCGCUCUUCAGAAGUCAGCUCGACAUCCAUUCGAGCAAUCCUCUUCAUGUAAUCCACCAUUUCUAUGAAAAAACAGAAAGAAAAGCAUAUGUCUAAUAAAAGAUGAGGAAAAGAAACAACUGCCAACAAUUCAGAUAAGAUAAAGCCCUAUCAAAUCAUGGUUAGCGAAACCAAUAUUGAACAGGGUCAGAUCAGUAUAUUGGCUGCUGAAACAGAUAAAAUUUUGUGAAGCAAAUCCGUAUUUCUGCAUAACACAAAAUGGCGAAACAUGACAUAUUUCUACACACUCACUACCAUUCCCUUCCUCUCAUCUGAAACAUUACUACUUCAUAGUACCACUUUGAUAACCCAUCAACUAUUACGCCAUUUUGAAGUAGACCCCCCCUGAACUUUUAAAAAAUAAAAAAAAAAUAUUUACUGGCGCCUCUUCAACUUCUGAUUUUUCUGAUUUGAGUUCAAUUAAGGUAGAGAUUUACAAAAAAUUGCUACGUAAUAGUAGUAAUUUUAGGGGUUAUGUUAAUAUAGAUUGUGGAAACUAACAAACAAAGAGGAGACAUGUGGAAACUCCAAACAACUAGCACGACUGUUUCAGCAAACUUUACCCUGUCAUCAGCAGAGAUAACCUAAGCAGAAACCCCCCCAAAAUAAAAAUUUAAAUAAAUAAAAAAAUCGAAAAUCCAACAAAACGCAACCAAAAUAACGAAACAUAUUCAAAUCAUGGCGCCAGUAUGUUACAAUAACAUCAUGGCACGAACCAUUCGCAAUAUUACACACACAGAAAAAAGAAGAAAAAAAUUGAAAACAGAACAGAGACCCAAAGAUCUCAAAUUUAUUACUCCAAACCAAACGCACAUGAACCAAAGAAAUCAUUUAUCAUAGGGAAAAAACAUUGGCUACCAAAAAUCCAAUCUUUUUUACUCCCUUUUUUGGAUAAAAACUAAGAACCAAAUUUUCUCUACAGAAGAAGGAAAAAAAACAAAAAAAAAAAAAAAAAACUGAGAACCAAAUGCAGAAACACAAAUAGCAGAGAGGAAGAGCUUUUACCAUCAUAUCUCUCCGCUUGCUCCGCCAACUUCGCCAUGAACGCAAGCUUCUCUCUCUCCUCCAUCUCUCCCAAGCGCCCACCCCCCCUCUCUCCCUCUCUCUCUCUCUCUCUCUCUCUCUCUCUAAGCAGACACGUUCCCGGUAUGGAAAAUUUCCUCUCUCUUCAGAGUCUUAUUCCACUGUUCCAUUUAUGGGCUGGUGUGUGUGUGUGUGUGUGUGUUUUUUUUUUGAGCAAUGCCCUGUGUUGUGACGUAAGAUUUUGGAAGCAUUUUUUUAUUUUAGUAUUUUAUAAUUUAAAUUAUAUUAUUUUUAUAUUCUGUAAUUUUUUUAAAUUUUUUUUAUUAAUUUUUUUUAUUAAAUCGGCAAUAGAGUUAUAACUAAAGAAUACUUAAAUAAAUAUUCGAUAAAUUAUAGGUGACAUAUCUGAAGCUUUUUGUAUAUAAUUUAACAAAAAAAUUAACGGAGGGACCGACGAAAAAAAAAAUAAAAUAAAACCAUAAAAUACUAAAUUUAUACACUUUAAACAAUAUAUUACUAAACUAAGAAAAUGCGAAACUAUAGCGGUGAUGUAUAAUUUAUCUUAAAAUAUGCACUCUAUAUAAUAUAUAAUUAUAUAUAAUUAUUCAUUUAUUAUUUUUAUUCAAAUAGAAUUAUUAUUAUGUUACCGACUAUUUCUAGCGCAAAUGACAAAAAACUUAUAAUUGGUAUAUGAGAUUUCAAAUUUGAAUUAUAAUUGAUUCAUAUUUCUAACUUCGUUUACUUCAAAAUAAAGUAAACGAAGAGUAUAGUAUGCUACUUAUUUUUAAAACAAUAAAAAAAUAUAUAUAGAUGUCAAAAAUGUAAGAGAUACGAUUUUUUUUUUAGCGCAGUUCCCAAUGGAUUAUGUGCCUACUGGCUAUUCGUUCUCACUUCUGAGGCGCAGAUUUUUGACAGACCCAUUGCCCACAAACUCUUGAGCACUAGAUAUUUCAUAAUUAAUCUUAGAUGUAACAGAGAUGGUAAUCCAUUCUUAGUGAUUGAGAUGUGCUGAUAAUAGCUUCAUCAGUAUAAAAUUUUUUACACUACAAAAGUAAUCAUGUUUUUUAGAGUAUUUGUUUGUUAUUUUUAGAUAUUUAAAAUGCGCAUGAUAAUAAAAAAAAAAAAAGAUUGGAAGAGAUAAUUUUUUUUUAUUUCUGGAUUCACUAUUGUCGAACAAAGAGAUCAAAAAAUAAAUUAUUUCUAUCCAGUUUAGUUAUGUUUAACAAAACAUAUAAAAUACAAUACUUUAUCUUUUCUUAAUUUUUUGUUAGUGUUUUUUUAAAAAAUACAAAUUAAGUAACACUAGGCUUUUGAUGAGGGCCAUUAAUUAUUAAUUAAAUUAAAGGAGGGAGAUUUGAGAUAUAUAUACCCUGUGAAUAUCUUACCUAGUUUAUUUAGGAGGAGGACAAGUGGACAGUACGCGGCCCGCACAUCCAGGUCACGUGGGUCCCACCGGGUGCGUGGGGACACGUGGAUCGAAGCGUGCGGGUUCCGCGUGGGUUCUGAGAUUCGCGGGGCUCGAUGAGCGGAAUAUCCCUUGCGAAGGACAGCAACGGCCGAGAUUCCAGAGAUCGGGAAAAUCGAACGGCUGAUCGUAGCCCGUCAGCAGCCGUUCAUCUGGCCGAGAUCAUUUUAUCCAAUCGAAAAUUAUAUAUAUCCAGUUACUUGGAUAGAAAUCUAUUACUAUAUAUAAAAGUAGAACCCUUAAUGAAUUCUAUGUGAGAAGCUGACACGUGGCUUUCUAUAUGCUUGCCACGUGUCAAACUCAAAUAUGGAUAUUUGGUUACGAAUUAUUUAAAAUUAUUGGUUUAAUUAAUUAUUUAAAAUUAGGCAGAUAAUUAAUUAUUUAAAAUUAUUGGUUGCGAAAUAAGCAAUAAUCGGUUGCGAAAUAAGCAAUAAUCUAUUGCGAAUUAUUUGAAAUAGUUAGUUGCGAAAAAAAGGGUCACUCCUGUAAUUUUCUUAAUUCUUAAAUAUUGAUGCUUUAAAAUAGAACAUAUAUUUUUUUAUUUUAUUAUUUAAAUAUAAUGUAUUAAUUUUUUUAUUGGAUGUCUUAUUUUUUUCAGGAUAUGACACUUGGAUAUGAUUCAAUACGUGACAUCACUUCUCUUGGAGACAAAUGGAAGAUCAAAGUUAGAGUGAUUUGUCUGUAUACUAUGCCUGAAUUUCAUCGCCCAGAGAUGGUGAAUAGUUAGUUUAGAGUUAGUUCUUUAUGAUCAAAAUGUAAGAUACGAUUUCAUUUUCAAAUUUGAAAUACAUUUGCUUUAUUUUUUUUUUAUAGAGUUAGUUCUUUCUGAUCAAAAUGUAAGAUACGAUUUCAUUUUCAAAUUUAACAUACAUUUGCUUUUUCUUCGCUCUUAAAUAUUGAUGCUUUAAAAUAGAAUAUAUUAUUUCCCUACUAUCACUUCUGUAAUUUUCAUUUCGUAAUUUUUUUUUCCUACUGUCACUCCUGUAACUUUCCAUCUUCAUGCAAUAAAAUUUUUCUUCUUUAUAUUUUCUUGAAAACCAACAUCUAUAUAUUUUUAAAUCUUAAAAGUGACAGUAGGAACAUAAUAUAUGUGUGCUUACUCUAAUUUGUGUCAAAUAUGAAAGUUUAGUUGAUCUCAUUAUAUGCUUAAAUAUUAAUGUCGUUUGUAAUUUUUCAUAUCAAUUUUAGUUAUCAAUUUUAUUUCGCACAUCAAUAUGUAAAUGUAAAUUAUUUUGCACACCAAUUCAUAGAUAAUAGAGCAGGAUUUAAUUUUGCAUUUUAGUUGAAUAUUUACUUUGGUCCAAAUUUUUUUUUCUCUAGCUUGUGUAUUUUAAUAUGUACUAUAAUUAAGAUUGAUAGUAUAUUUUUUUAUUUGUUAAAAAAAAUAAAAUUAAUUAGAAAAUUUUUUUGUUAUCAUCACAUAAUAAUUUUUAUUAUUCUAUAUUAUUAUAUUAGCCGUGCAUCGCACGGGUGAAAAUCUAGUUAAUACAAAUCAUAUACCUUCUCAUUUUAGAAUUUUAAAAAAAAUAAUAAACUUUUUUAGUAAAAAAAAAAAAUAUUUAACACGGCAAGAAAAUAUAAGAUUUGUACUUUUUGUUUGUAUUUGAAAUUUAUUUCAUUAGUCGUUAAACUACAAGCAGACAUGAUCUAUGAUUAUUAAUAUUUACAUCGAUAUUCAACGUAUAGUAGUUUAAUACAGACUGAUUAUUAAACUUUUAAGUUCUGUACAACGAUCGAGCCGAAUCGAAGUUGGUUUGAUCCGCUUGAUUUUACUUCUAGCUACCGUUCGCGCCCGAUGCUGGUUCAGUCGGGAUCUAAUUCACAAAAUAUGCUGUUUAAAUAUAUUUUUUAAAAAUAUUCCUCUAUACUAAUUUAAAAUAGUCCUUAGCGCUUUUGAUGUAUCCCUCUACUGUACGAAUACACAGAGUUAUUUUCUCAAGGACAUUAGAAAAUAAAAAAGUAAUACCCCCCACAUGGCAUGUGGACAUGUUCCAUAUGCUGGGUCCAAAAAUUAACAAGUCGUUUAUUUUUUCCAAAUGCGAACCAACGUGUGACGAAUCGGUUGGAUCACAUUAAACUUUGCUAUAUAAAAAUGGUAGAAAUUUUAAUAAACUAAAAAGUAUCAGCGGAUUUGAGGAAAUAGUAUAUUCUUAUGUGAGAAAAUAAUCGUAUAAUAUCGGUACGUGGCACAUGGAUAUUAGGCCACAUUUAUCUAGUAAUCUAAGAAAUCAAAAGCAGGGCCAAUAAAUUAAUAUGUGGUGCGGGGUGAACUCGCUAUUUAAUGUUUCAGCUUGGAUUUGGAUUCGAUUAAAAUGUGCCACUUUCGGUGCCUGGCAAGUUUUAGUGCUAUUUUUCUAAGAUUUUAGUGUUUCACUUUGUACCAUAAAUGAUAAUACACUGAACUAAUAAAAACUAAUUAAGGUACAAAUGUAAGGUAAGAACUUGUUUGAUCUGGCUUUAAUCUAGUGGACGCGGGUACUAAAAUUUUAGAGCACAAUACAUUUUAUCGGUGCAUGCCACAUAAUAGCCCCACAAAGCCAUAUUGCACUAAGCUGGGUGUUGAAUAUAUUAAAAUAAAGAAGCAAUUGCUUAUAUACUUCUGAAAAGUUUUCGACUUUUUGAUUUAUCUUUCUUAGAAAGAUAAUAUUAAAAAUACUCUUUUUACGUUCCAACCUAUUUCUAAUAUACAAUCUGUUAAUGAACUCUAUUAUCUCUGUAAAAUUAUUAUUUUACCCUUUCAAAUAUACUUUCUACUAUCACCGACUUUUCUUAUUUGCCCUCAAGUUAGGGGCACAAAAAAUAUUUUAUUUUUCGGUCUUUUCAAAUAUGCCCUUCUACUAUCACUAAUAUUUUUUUAUCUGUCCUUAAGUUAAGGGUAAAAGUGGUAUUUUAUUUUAUUUUUUAACUAUGGUAGAUAUUUAACUCACGUUUAACUCAAGUUAACUUAACGGAUGAUAACUGCAGGGAUAUUUUGAAAUAACGGAGGAACAUAUGAGGAGUAUAUUAGAAAGAGAAAAAAAAAAAAAAGGCAUGAAUGAAAUAUUUUCGAAGUUUUGAGAGGUAUAGAGGCAAUUAUCCUUAAAAUAAAACACCGUUUUACGCAAACUAUUGUUUUACAUGGCACUAGAGGAUAACAAUGCCAUUUAAUAAAGUUUUUAGUCCAAUCAUUAGCUUAAGCUUUUAGAGUUUAGCCAUAAACCAUUUCAACGCCCAAAAAAGGCCUUCGCUCGUUUGUCCCUAUAAGUCCCGUGAAAGCCUAUCUUGGCCCAUUUAGUUUUGGGCCAUGAAUAACUUUUCCGAGAAAAGAGAAAAAUACUUGCUGCGGAGAAGUGAACAAAGAAGUGAUACCAGAAGAAGAGAAAAAUACUACAGUUACGAUACGAUUAAUAGUAAGUAAAUAGUAGUUGCUAUUUAUUUUUUUCACCUUUUGAAUCUAGAAUAAUAUCACUAUCAAGAAAUAAAUCCGAUACAUCCAAAAGGACAAAAAGUAGAUAGCAAAUACUUUCUCUACGUACUUAAUUUUUUUUCCACAAAAAGAAAUUCUAAAUAAAGGAAUCAUUUGGUACAAUUUCGCUCCUUUUGUUUGUAUAAUCAUCUUACAUUUUAUGCAGUGGAGUGCGCGGAUACUUUAACAGGCAUUAGCAAAUCCAUACUUGGACAGAUAAAAUAGUGAUGGCGGAGCUUGCUCAUCAACUACUACAAAUACAGUUUUGCUCAGAAAAUAAAAUUUUUGAAUAAUAUUGUUGGGAUUGUAAUAUUGGUUGGGUUGGUACUCUUGUAGAACAACGAAGCACAAAAUGAAUUUUACAUGCAGAUCGGUUCAGUCAAACGUACGUCACCAAAUCCCAACCGCGGCGGAAUAUGAGUUAGGUUAGGUUGAUUCAAUGCAUCCAAAAUUGGUUAGGUUGACUCGAUUCCUACCUCUAGACAAUUUGAACACGCCCACCUAAAAUUCCUUAAAGAUCCAAAAUAAUUCCAGGUGCGUGUGAGAGAGAUAGAGAAUGAGAUUGAUAACGAGGGAGAGAAAGAGAGAUGUGCGUACGUAAAGAGAUUUGGAAUGGAUGGCCAGUGUUGCAUGGCUCAAUUUUUUCCACUCCACAUGCAGUGCUGGUCAAAUUGGCUACAAACAAGCCACAAAGUUUCGGCUUUGACAAACUUAUCCAGUUUUAGAGUCUUUUAGGAAGCUUAAAACGCCCUUUGAAGUUGUGAAAAGGCAACAUAUUUAUCCAAAUGACUAAAAUCGUCAAACGUUAGUGAAGAUGCAAGUUCAAUGAAUUUGAUGGUCUUUUAAGUGAUUAGGAAGAAAUUUUUUUUUUCAGGUAAAACCUUUAUUUUAAGUUUUUCGCCUGCUUGGUUUUUAAAAAAAAAAAAAAAAAAAAAAAAAAAACUAGUUUGUUUUAAAAGAAAAUUUUCGAGCUUCAUAAAAAAUUAGUGUUUUGGUUUUUAAAUUUUUUUAGAAAAACAAAAUACUAGUUUUUUUUAAUAAAAUCUAAAGCUAACAUUUUUGGAACCAAAUGAUCGGAAUACUGAAAAUGGAGUUUUACAUAGGAUUUUUUUGCUUGAAAUAUUUUUUUUUUCAUAUUUUUCGAGGAACCAAAGAGUUCGGUAGAUUUUUUUCAAGUUCAAAACUUCCUAGAUUCUAUUUUUGUGAUGGUUAAGUGUGUAAAUUAAUUUCCUUCUAAAGUAUAAAAAGUAUAUAUUUGCGCGAUAGUCAUGUUAAACAAACAGCGAGGCAUUAUUUUGUAGUAACAAAUUGGUAUAUAUUGAAACAAAUUUGAUAUCAAAGCUAGUCACUGGUACCGUGGUGGUACGUAAUAGUUUAAGUGGAAUUUUUAAAAAAUAGUUCAAACAAAUUCUAGAUCUUAAUCCCUCGGCAAAACUUUUUGUUCAAAGUUAAGGCCAACUUGAGAAAGUUAACAAACUUUUUUUUUUCUUUUUUUUUUUUUGAGAAAGUUAACAAACUAUUAUAUAUCGGGUUCAAACACAAGCAAGUUUUAUAGUUUGUAAGAAUAUCGCUUUUAGCUCUUUAUUAAGCCCACCGGCUUGAGCGAGCGCAGCAACUUGAUGUACAUAUAUAUCAAUGCCGUUUGGUUCGAUAUAAUUAUAAAUAGUUUAGUUAAAAAUAUAGAUAGUUAAAAAUGCCGCAUUAUAAUUAUAUAGAGUAGGUCGUACGUGUAUGCUAUUAGAAGCACGGAGGCCUCCGCGCUCCUAAGCCGUUUUCGAUGAUGAAACUUGCGAAUUGACGAUUGCUUCCGUUAGAUUUGAUCUAACGUAUUUGAAGUAUUUAAAAAAUAAAUUUUGUGAUUUUUCGAUAUCAUUUAUUUAGUGAUCGAAAAAGUUCAAAAUCAAUAAUUUUUAAUGAUUGCUAUAUAUCGUUUGCAAGUUUAAUGGUGUAGAAGUAUUCAAAUGAAAUAAAAAUUUGAUAGAAAAUUCUUUAUACUAUUUACUGCAUGCAAGAUCAAUAUCUCUGAUUAAAAAUUUUAGUGCUAUAUCACCACUUUUUAUGAGAUUUUUAUUUUCUGCCGUUGAUUUUGAACCCUUUCGAUCACUAGGUAAAUAAUAUCGAAAAAUUGCAAAAUUUAUUUUCUAGGUACUUCAAUGCACUAGAUCAAGUCUAACGGAGCUGAUCGUCAAUUCGUAAGCUCCAUCAUCGAAAACGGCUUAGGAGCAUGGAGGCCUCCGUGCUCCUAAUAGCAUACAAGACCUACUCUAAUUAUAUAUAUCCUGUUUGAUUGGAUACAGUAGAAAGUGCUGCCGGUAUGUAUAAAUAUUUUAUUUGAUUGCGUGCGAUUGGGAAGUUUAUUUAUUAAAUUUUAUUAUUUAAUAUAUGAGCUGGUAUAAUUACCCCUUAUAAGAAAAGAAAAACAAAUCAUUUGAAAAAAAUAUUAGAAAUGUAACCUUACUUCUGUUUAAAAUUACUUUAUUCAAAUACUGUAGUUACAACUUACAACUACGUACAGUCAAUUUGGAGGUAAUUUCCAAUUACUGUAAUUGAAUCUUCUCAUGUAGCUGCAACUGCAAUAAUUGAAUUCAAAUGCAUCAAAAUAAACGUUGAAUUUGGACCUGUAUGCAGUUACGACUAUAAUACAGUUAUAAUUACGUAUAACCAAACAAUUCCUUAGGGUGGCCAAGCUGACCCUUUUGAUAUUUACUGAAAAAAUACCUUGUAUUCAACUACUUUGUCACAACUUAGGUCGUUUUAUUUUGUAAAUUAUAGAAAAUCUAAGCUUAUGCAGUUGGAAAUAGUGUUGGAAUGUGAUUGAUCGUGAGAUGUACGUGCGCUUAAAUUGGAUGGUUUUUAUGCAUGGAUGGGAAUUUAGCACGUUGUUGGAGAGUUUAUGAGUCAAAAAUUGGUAGCUAUAUAUAUUCAAAGUUGUGAAGCAGUUGCCGGGAUUGAAUCAAAUUUGAAUUUUAUUUCAAGCUAGGCCAUGGCACCCAUCAGAGUGAAUUGAUUUCGCAUUUCUUGACCCCACAAGAGUAAUUAGAUUUGUUUUUUUUUUUCUUUUCUUUUUCGGCGAUUCUCUUUGUUCGUUAAUAGCUUUUUUGUCAUGAUUCCGAGCCCAACCAUUGCAAAUAGACCAGAAGUUGGUUUUGUAUUUUCUUAUUAAUUAAUGACCGUGAGUCACAAAAUAUUUGGUAGGCUAGCUAUAGUCCAAUUAUUAUCUGGGCAGAGUCAUUUGAAGAAGCACCAACAACUUGUUGUUACUGGUUCCAGUAUCAUGGAUUUCAAUAAAAGUUGGCACUUUGGAAUCAUGUUAGAUCAUCUACUAAACCAUAUGUUAGUGAUUAAGAAUAAUACAAUGUGUAAUAAUGCUCGAGUAAGUCAUAAAUUUUCAAGCUUUUAAUCAAUUAUUGAGUUGACAUACCUCUAAAUUAUUAGCAUAUAAUGUAGAAUAUUCUGCGCGCCGUCUAAAUAUUCUGCAAAUUAAACAAACAUCUAAGUGAAAACUAGUUCGAUCUCUAACAAGAUAUAAUUUAACAAAUUAAGCAUCUUGAGUUCGAACCCUUAUAGAUUCAUCUGUUAUUUAUCAUAUUUAUAGUUCUCGCAUCUUGGAUGUGCUAAAAUAUAUCGAGAACUGAAUGUGUGCAAGGAAUAUAUAGCACUGUUCUCGAAUAGUUUAAACUGGGAGAACAAAUGAUACGCAGUUGCUUCACAACUUACAGGUUAUUAAUUUAUAAGAUGCCAUUGCAUGACAAUUAAUCAUUUGGUGAAAUAGUCAAUGGAUGGAGAAUUUAUCUAGACCAUGAGAAAUGGAUGGUCAAGAAGUUGUAGGUUUAGCCUCAGGAAAUAGGAAAUAGGAAAUAGGGACUUGUUUAUCCGCAAAGUUUAAUCGUGUGUCGAACCCAGCCCACUAUUUUAACUUAUCCUCCAUUAAUAUAACUUGGUCUCCUCCAAUUCUUUAAUCUUUUCUUCUUCUUCUUCUUCUUCUUUUUUUUUGAGAGAUAGGUAGCACGCUACCCGCCUCGUUUAUUUCAUUUAGAAAUAAACUUAGUUGGAAAUGUGAAUCAACUAGGAUUCGAAUUUGGGUCUCGGGUACCAACCACCAAGCCCUUUGCCACUUGUUCUAGGGACGGUCGUUGCCGUUCUGGAUUUAUGUUGUGACGCAUCGCUAUAUUUUGAUGUGUUUCUUUGUUUUAUGCCAUUCUUUGUUUUCUACCACAUGGUGUGUAUUUAAUGAAUGAUUUACUGUGAUUGCAUAGAAUUCUAAAUAACCACCACAAAAAAAAACAUAAUUGAGUGACUUGUAAGAAAAUAUUCAUUAAAAUUAAUAAAUAUUUGGGUAGAAUUUUAAGUCUAUACAGCAAACUAUUAAUAACGUCAACAUCAAUCGUAACCAAUUAAAAUUUUACAUGCCAAACAAUCAAUACCAAAAUAAUAAAGUACUCAGAAUUGAUUAAAAGAGUGAUGGUAUAAAGCUCGCAGAGUAUUUUAAUCUGGGACUCGUGUGUCGUUUACAUAGUUGAAAAUUUGUGAUAAAAUCUAUAAAAUCACUCUAUCGAAAAUGUAUUGAAUCACAAUUUUAACUUAGCAUUCUUUGUGGAGAAACUAGCAUACAUAUUAGCUUCUUAAAAUUUUUGUAAUAAUAUUAAGCCUUUUUAAUUUCUCAACAUACAAAGUUAUGUCACGAUAAAUGAGGUAAACACUAUUUUUUUUUUUUUUUGAAAAAAAGGUAAACACUAUUUAUUAGGUAGGAAAAAUAAAUGAGUUAGAACACCAAAUUGGGCCAUUGGGCCAUAUGUAAUUAUGUAAAUUGCAUAAUGUAGCGAAACGAGCAUGUGCGGUGGUCCCCACCAAAAAUUUUAUACGCUCCUUCGAUUGCGCUUGGGGCACUUGAGAGGACGCCCCUACCGGUCGAUUAUGCGCCGCAAUCGUGCCGUUCCUUUUCGGUUGCUCCAUGCGGACGCCGUACAACCAAAGACUAGUUAUUAAAUAAAUAUAAAUAUUUUAUCAUUUUGCGUACAGUUGCACAAAGCCACAACCUAUGGGAAGCCUCAAUUUUCUUUUCCCUUUUUUUAAAAAAUAUUCAAUCGAGCCCCUUGUAAUGUCCAUAAUAAUAGUAAUUUCAUUUUUUUUUUUUAAUUACACUUUCAUCCUUUUGAAAUAUACUUGUGGUGAAUUAAUAAAGUAUGACACUAAAUUCUUUAUCAUUUAGGUUAGAAAUAAUCGAUUAUAAUUUGAUGAUUUGAAUAAGCAGAUAAAAAAUUUUUCUCGGGCCGAGAGAGGACGGGAUAUUACUGUUUGGUUAUUUACAAUUUCGAGAAAAAUCGGAUGUGAAUUAGUACACUUUUAUGCUAAUAACAUUAUUUUUUAAAAGAAUACUUCUAUCAGGAUUGUAGCAUAUUCCAAAAGGAGAAUAAUCUUAUUAACCUACCUCAUAUAUUACCUUCCUUAAAAAAAGAAUUACAAGAAUAUAAUAAUACCUCACUUAAGGCAAAAUUUCUUUGUGUAGUUCGUUCUUUUUUGGAAUCUAAUUAAAAGAAAAUAACACCUAAAUUAUUGGUGUAUAUGCUGACUUUUUUCCAAAUAAAACUUCAACAAGUGCAUCUCCUUCCCUACAUAAACCUUGGUACAUAAAUCCCACCUGUACCACUAAAUAACCAACCAAAUAAUUAAGGAAUACUAUAGAAGUAAAAUAUGGGGAAAACAUUACAAAUUUACUUUAGGUAAAUUAUUAAUUAAUUCUCAAGUGACAUAGCAGCAUACCCAAUACAUUUUCACAUUUGACCCAGAGGUUACGGAAAGUCAAAUUAGGUCCCCAAGGACAUGAGUACUUUUCACAUUAUUACAAAGCUUUUUCCAUAGAUGAGGUAGUAUUUGCCCCUACAAUCGAUAAUUAUCAUAUUUAAAAGGUCACAUAGAACGACCUUUAUGAUGAGUAACAACCACGAGAACAUCCCAAAAGUAAAGACUUUUUUUUUUUUUGCAUUUGCUCCUUUCAAAAUAUUUUUUUUAUAAAUAGUCUCAUCAAAUUUAUAAUUAUAAAUUUGGUCUAAUUUUUGCUACGUAGGCGCCACAUCAGGGACAUGAUGUUAAGUUGAACACUGUGAAUGGUUCACCGUAUUUUAUACGUAUAUUUUCCUCUUUCUUCCUAUUCAAUAUUUAUAUUUUUUCGUAAUACAAUACAUAUAUAUUAUAUUUUUUUCAAACACGGUGAAUCAUUCACCGUGUCUAAACACGGUGAAUGGUUCACCGUAUUCAACUUAACAAACUGGUUCCAGCCCCGCUGACGUAGCACUGACGUGACACCUGCGUGGCAGGAGUAGGGUCAUUUUUAUAAAUAUAAAUUUGAUGAAACUAUUUUUAAAAUAAAUUUUUAAGGGGGCCAGAUGCAAAAAAAUGCCCAAAAAAAUUAGGCACAUAUAAAGCAUUGCAAAGAUCACGAGCUACUAUUUUCAACCAUUCACACAUGGUUCCAAUUUAAUUGCCCAGAUUAUGGUCACAACUCCCAAUUAAUUUUAUAAUAUAUAGCUAUUAUACUAAUUGAGGAGAUAUAUCCCAACUGUAAAAACCAAUGCAAAUGAAGGGAAAAGUUUUUUAGCGGUAGUUCUCCAAUGGCGCCUGGUUGAUGUACCUUCGAUUUAUUUUUAUGUGUUAAUUUUGUUUCUAUUUAAGAAUUAUAAUACUUUUUUGUAGAGUUUGAAAAUUUCUUCUCGAGUUUUAGUAUUUAAAAACACUUAAAAUUCCUGGAUGAGGGCAAAAUUAAUAUGUGUAGGGGAGCUUUCCACUUAAGUUUUGUCCCUAAUUACGGGCAAUAAUUCUCAAUUUUAUUACAGGCAAUAAUUUUAGUCAAGAAAGAGACAGGGUUUAAUUACAGGCAAUAAUUCUCAAUUUAAUUAUUACAUUUUAGUCAAGAAAGAGACAGGGUUUAAAUUAUUUUAUAGGCAAAUAAUUAAUGGGCGUGCAAAAUAAUGGUUCUAGAUUAAUAAUUAAGACUCCAACCCCGUUUUAAAAACUGCUCAGGUAAUCUCUACAGUAACUAUAUGAUAAAAUUAAAAUGAAACAUAUACAAUUCCUUUUUGAUGGAGAGAUAUUCACUACACGUUAUACAACUAAAAGGUUUCAGUUUUUAAAAUGACAUGCCUAAUGUUAUUAUCUUACCGAAAUCGCAAUAUCAUAUUGUUGCCAUAUGAUGUGUCUACAUUGGCAUGUUCAAAUUCAACUCAAUCCAUAUAAGAUGUGCAUUGGGCUUUGUCCUAAUAAGUUAAGAAUAAAAAUGGAUUAUAUAUUUCUUAUUAAUUAAAAAAUAUAUCUCAUAAUGAAUAUCUAUUAUAUCUUAAUAAAUAUCCUAAUUUUAAUUUCUAUAUGAGAUUCAGAGUAUUUUAAGAGAUUCCAUAAUCUACAAACACAAUCUUUUUCUCUCGAAUUUUGUAUCUAAAAGAAUUUUCGAGAACGUACAAGAAAAAGAAAUAGAGACUUCUUCCUCUCUCUCUUCUUUCUCUUCUUUCUCUCCGAUCCGCACGAGAGAAGACGAGCUACGUAGAAGAACCAAAAUUUACGUAGAAGAUACAGAAUUAUUGAGAAGGACAAUUCACGAAGGCUAGUAAAGUAAGCAGUCCGGUCUAAUUUUCGAUUUCUCAAUACAUUGGCUAUUCAGUUUGUAAGUUUUCGCUGUCCUCUUAUUUUAAUACAUAUGAAAAUAUUCGAUUGCAACAUGAUUUUCCUUCUAAGGGACACGCACAUGUGUAGUCAUAAAAUUACUAACUUGGUUUUAUUUUGUAAUGAGUGCCAGUGAAAUUUAACAAUACUCUAACCAUAGCAUCUACAAAUAUAUAUAAAUCAAGCGUUCACAUAGAAUUUUGAUAUAUGAGACUAAAAAUCACCGUUAUCAGUUAGUCCAUCGAUUCAAACUCUAAAGCAAGGAUAAGGAUCCGGCCAAUAGAUCGCAUAAAAUAUCUUUUUGUCUCUCUCCCUCUCCCACCUGAAAAACAAGUGUGUGAUAAUACGAAGGUGAUCGAGUAAAUCGAACUCCACAAACAAAAGUAAAAGAAUAUAUGGAGGAUCAAAUUUUUUGGAGACAAAGUCACUGUCUCAAGGCACAUGGAAACCUGAUUGUGUGUCGUACGGAAAAAAUAGUUUUGGAUUAUAUCAUCGUGGCAUGCAUUGAUAUGGAGGGGUCCCAGAUAUGCGUGGUGAAAUAUAUACAUAUGUGUAUGUAUUUUUUAUUGGACCCAUAUGUGAGUUGUUCUUUGUAGCAGUAAUAGCAUAUGUCACUCACAUAUGACAAUUCGUUGCUUAAAAAAAAGUCUCCACAAGUACAUGAUAUGCCCCUUUCUCCUACUCCACGUGCAUGGGCUCCACACCAUUUACUAUCUGAUUUUCGUGUAGAUAUAUACCCACCACGAAGGGCUCUUGAAUGGUCCUUGUAACUUGCAAAAUUGAAAAAACAAAAAAAAAUAUUUUUACAUCAUUAACAAAGGAUAUAAACUUAUUUUGUUGGUGCAUUCUCUAUUGGGGUCAGAUUUUAUUUAAUGAGAUAUUGAUUUUAAGAGGAUAUAUAAGAAUUCUUUUCGAAUGUGUAUGUAUCGACGAAGGAAUCCUUAUUAGAGUUCAUGUGAUAUACUUAACCAGAUUUAAUGCAUAUGAUGUAAAUUUUUUUCUUUGUUUUCAAAAAGGAGCAUUAAUUGUUAAUAUCGCCAUCCAAUUUCAAUAAUUUUGAUUUAUUAUGGAAGUGUACACCUUAUUCAAAUCUAAUUUUUUUUAUUUUAUAUUUGCACUUUUGGAAAAUCCCCUACCAAUCUUAUACGUAAUAAAUUACAUAACAAGGUGAUUGAGUACCUUUUCUUAUAAUAUAUGAGAAUAUAUUUUGUUAAUUACGUGGAGUAUACUCCAAAGACAAGCUAAUUUAGACACGGCAUAGCAAUUUUCGCUUUGUAGUUCGCAGUUAACAACUCCAUCACAACUGAGAACCAUUUUUUAGAACUUUUAAAUUAACUUGGUCUUUCGUGGUAGAGGUAACAUAAAAAAAUAAUAAUAAUUUAAUUUAAAAAAGCUUCACAUCAACCAAACUUGUAAAAGAAAACUUGAAAUUUAUACUGAUAUAUGACAUUCGACCUAUUGAUAGAGGUUUGUUGCCGUAAUACUGAUUUCGAUAUCAACAAAUAUGUUAAACGAGUUUAGUUACUGUUUACUUACUAAAUUUAAUCAAAUUUAGUAGUCCGGAUACGAUUGCGAUUUGAGUACUUGUUCGCGUCCUCCAAAUGUGUUGUUAGAAUAAAACAAUGACCUUUCAAAAUAUUAUUAUCUUUGUAGAUGGUUAAUAUUAAGUCUAUAUAAGAUGGAGAGAUUUGAAUUAGGUUUAUCAUUAGUCCAAAAUGCUGAAACUAAAUAAAAGAUUCUUUCAUGAAAGAUUCAAAUAAUUUUUGUAUAUAUAAAUAUGCAAAUUUUUAACUAAUUUUAUGUUUAUAAAUUUAGUAAAAAAUUUUGUAUAUAUUUUGAAUUUUAUGUUUGUAAUGUUGAAAUUUUAUUAAAAACUAAGAUUAUACUUUCCGAUUCUUGAUUGUGUUUCGUUCUCAUUCACGAUCUGUAAAAAGACGGGACGUUUCGAGUCUAAUUCUUUUAUUUAUAUAUAACUUGAUGUAAGAAUGUUAAAUCACGUCCGACCAUCAAAGAUGUGUCCAGAUACAUUCUAACCGUUAGAUCUACCGUAUCUUUAUUGAUCGACUUGAAUAGAUCGAUUGUAUCUUUAUAAAUCGUCUUGAAAAAAUCACGUGGGUCACAUCCAACAUAUAAAUUUCAUCACAUUUUGGGUCGAUGUUAAGCAUUUAUUUAUGUGUUUAUUUAAGGAAAAACUUCAAAACCCCCCUUAUGGUUUCGCAGUGUCUUACUUUGCCCAUCUGUGGUUUCAAAUGUAUCAAAUUGCCCUCCUAUGGUUUCGUUUUUAGUUUUUUGAUAGUUUUUUCGCUAAUAUUUUAUUAAAUUAUAUACAAAAAACUUCAGAUACCCAUCUAGAUUUAUCAAAUAUUUAUUUUAGUACCCUUCAAUUUUAACUUUAUCACUGAUUUAAGAAAAAAAAUAAUAAAAUUGAUAAGAAAAAGAGAAAAAAAAAACUACAGGAAAACAAAUUGAUACAUUUUAAACCACAGGGGAGAAAAGUGAGAAACUACGAAAUCACAUAAGGAUUUUUAAAGUUUUUCCUUUAUUUAAUCUCCAUUGGUUACACCGGAAAAUCGUACUUAGCCGGACCACAGCUAUUAUUUUCAGUGGCUCCACCACCGUUAUGGUUAAAAAUGACACCUUCUAUAUAUACAUGUAUACAUCGUCGUACGACACCGUGCCCUCGCGGAGUACGACACCGUGCCCUCGCGGAGCCAAAAAUUUGGUGGGCACGGUACCCACCUUCUAUAAUUUUCAUUUUUUGGUUUUCUUUAGGAAUUGAUAUGUUGGUAUAGUAUACUUCACAACUUUUUCAUUUCUCUUAUUUUUUUUUUAUGAUAGUAUAGGAAUUUGUCGAGUUAGUCGCUUGCAAAAUUGUACGAUUUUUAAAGUACAAUCAUUAUUUCUUAUGAUUUAACAUGAUAUUAGAAUAAAAGAUUCCGAGUUCGAAUUGUGUCAGACUCCUAAUAUUAUUAUUUUUUGUUUAAUUUAAACUCACGUCGUGAGGGUAUAAAAAAUUUCGAACACAAACGUAAAGAAGAGGAGAAGUGUUAAAUACAAAAGUAUUUAGAUAGCGUUAAUUAUUUUGUUGAGAAAUGAAUUUAUCAAGAACCAUAAUUAACAAGUAAAACGCUACUUGUAUGUUGUGAUCAUUUUGUUUAGAAAUAAAUUUAUCAAGAACUGUAAAAUAAUUAUGUUUCGAAUUUAUUAAGAUCGUAAAUAUUAACUAUCAAAUAUUUACCCGACUGUGCUAGAUCAAUAUGCUGAGCUAAGAAUGCAAGCAAAGAGAUUUUCAUUCCACCAAAAUAUACAUAUAAAAAAGAAAAAAGAAAAAAGAAAAAAGAAAAAGAAAACGCAAUGGAGACGGCGCGUGCGUGCCGAGCGACUUCAAAGUUCAAAGCCGUAUCUUACUGACCAUUUAGCAGCCGCCCCAAGACGCAGAACUUGCACUUGGAAAACUGCAUAGCUACCCCCUCAACCACAAGAUAUUUGGAAGUUGGCCCCUUUACUUUUUCUAAUUGAUACUUUCUUAACUUUAAAUCUUUCAAAUUAAAAUCAUUCGUAGUCAGAUUAGUUGGAAAUUUUAUCUGAUUUGAUGCUUCUAUAGCCAGUAGCUAUUAAUUAUUUUCAUUUUCGUUUACUAUAAAGCAAUUGCAACUGUUAACAUAUUUUUAAAAUUUUUUAAUUAAGUUGGCUUAAGUUAUUUAACUCUUUUUAGUUAAAAACAGUGUUAAUGGAAUUAAAGAGGGUUCAUGUCAAACUGACCUGUAGUUGAUUGAUGUGGCCUCUCCAUACAAUUUUAUCUUAACUUAAAAAUUCCAAAGUUGAGUGCAAUAAUAAAACCCUAACUUUUGGGGGUGCUCAUAGAGCUGUGACUUGUGAGGCUCUGCACAAAGAAGGCCCCACCCAUCUGAGAGAGUGAGUUGGCAUCUGAUUCCAAUCUCCACCCCACUGCAGAAAUAUGAAGAGAUUCUGAUUUUGCCUGCCCAGAUCAUGUGGUUUCUUCUCCAGUUAAAAAAUGUAUGAAAGUUUACUAGAAUUUUAGCCAUCCAUUUUUUGGAUUAGGUAUUCAUUUUUCUUCUGAAAAAAAAAAAAUUGUUUAGUAUUUCAUCUUUUCAGCUCAUCUUAUUUAAAUCAUUUGAUCUUCCAUGAUCGGGUUGAUUAGAAUAUAUAUCUUAUCAGCAAUUAGAUAAAUAGGUAUUAUUGAGGAUCUAACUCGGGACAAACAAUUCAAAAAUAUUACAAUAUUACAAACCUUGUUAUAUAUUAUUCGUCGUAAAAUCUUAGAAAAAGGUCAAAUUGCUGAUAAUAACAUAGUCUUAAAAAAAAUGCAUAAAUUACUCAGAACCAAUUAACAAUUUUUCAAUUUGAGCUCUGAUUGAAUUAAUUGAGGCUAAUUAGUAACUUAAGUUAACAGUCAAAAUGGAUUAAAUAGUUCAACUUUUAACUCAUUUCGACUUUAAAAGUUCUUGAGUUUCAAAAUAAAUUCAACUUAAAUACUAUCAUUAGUGAGAAUUUAUAAAUGCUCAGGGCCAAUAUAUUAUGAAAAUAUAAUUACUGUAGUACUUUCUUUUUAAUAAGACUAUCUAUAUUUUUUUAUGUCCUCUGGCACCUUUCAAAAAUUAUUUGAUACAGUGGACUACAAUUAGUCCAUCAUAAUAUUUGCAUUAUUACUAUUGUGUCCUUAAUAUAUAAAAAAAAAAAAAUUGGCAUUUUAUAUUUUUUAUGCAUUUAGAAUUUAAAAUUCACACACUAGAAAUAGCAUAGAAAUAUUAAAAAUUAACUUAAAAUAAUGUGGCAUAUUAAAAUAUCCCUUUAGCAUUUCAAGUUAUUUCAAAUAUAUAUUCCUAAAGUUAAAUUCCAUUAGUGAAAUAUUAAAGGCAACUAUUAUUUUUUAAAAAUUACUAUUUUAUCCUUUUAAAUAUAUAUCUUUUUAUCGUUGCCUGUUUUUCUUAUUUGUUUUUAAUAUAUGGGUAAAAAAAUAUUUUAAUUUUUUUUUGUCUGUAUUCACUUGUUUUUUCUUAUUUGUCCUUUAGUUAAGAGUAAAAAAAGUAUUUAUAAUUUUUAAAAAAUUCAGAUUUAAUUUGAGAUAACUUAACGAUUAUUAAUGAUGAGAGUAUUUUUUUGAGAGAGAAAGGUAGCAUGUUAUCCGUUUCAUUUAUUUUUUUAAAAAAUAACUUAGCUGGAAAUGUGAAUCAAAUAGGAUUCAAACUUGGGGCCUCGGGUACCAACUACCAAGCCUUUUUGUCACUUGCGCUAAGGACGGUCGGUGUAGUGAGAGUAUUUUUGAAUGACGAAAACUUACACGAAAAGUAUAUUCGAAAUAAAAAAAUAAAAAUAAAUUAAAUAUUUUAGAAGAAUUUAAAGGCAUAUUAUUAGAUAUUAUUCAUAUUCUAGAAUUAUAUUAUUUUUUACAUGAUUAGAGGGUAACAGGGCCCCAAAACGAAUACUCUCCUGCAUCCGCGUGUCUAGCGCGUUUGCCGCUUUUCCCCAGAGGCCACAGCAGUUGGCCGCUUAUAUCUGGGCCUCUUCCACCACGUUCUCCCACACCGNAAAAGGGAUGGAAACAGCUUGUUUCCACCCUUAGAUAUAGUGUUUGGGGAACAAGGGAGGAUAACCCCUUAUCCUCAGUUCUCACCCUUGUUCCUCAACCAAACAAGGCGUAAAAAGGGACCACUAUCAUUGUAAUCACAAAUCUCUUUAUCCUAACAUCGAAAACCUAGCCUAAUUUUACAAUAUUGACUUAAAUACUUAAAAAUAUAGAAUUAAAGAUAUUAUUUUGUUGCAAAUUAAGCAUUACUUGUUAUUAUUAUUAUUAUUAUCAUAUUAUAUACAUAAUAAUAAGUCGCCAAUUAAGGAAUCAAAUCACAUUUUCUCCUGCUUUCGAUCCCAACCUUUUUAAUUUCCCCUUUUAGUUAUUUCUUUAUAUUUAUUUUCGAUUAGGAGACGCGUGACGUGCGACUGUUUCCCUAUCAAAGUAGAUCGCCUAUUUGACACCCAGCUACGUUGGGGACCAAACUCUGGAGAGCGUGGAGCUCAGGAAGAGGAAGAAGAAAACAACAAUUACAACUCUCUCUCCUCCUCCUCCUCCUCUACACCUCUCUCUCUCUCUCUCUCUCUCUCUCUCUCUACACCUCUUCUCCUCAGCAGCGCCAUUUCCUUUUGAUCACCACCGCUCUCCGCGAAUCCUCUUUGAUCGCGCUUCUCUGCGUCCUAAGCUCUCCGUGUUCUCCCAAUCGCGCCGCGUUCUGGGUGUGGCUUGGACAGGUACUUUUGAUUCAUCCUUGUUGAUCUCUUUAGUGGGCCUUUUCCCCCUGUUUCUCAGGUUUGGUUGUUUCCUUUGUUUGAGAUUUUGAGUUGGUGGGUGUUUGGAAACAUGGCCAAAGGUGGCUCUUUUUAACGAGUUUGGCGUUGCGAAGAACCUUUCUUCUUUUUUUUUUUUACUUGCUCGCUUGUUGGGUUUCCUCAAUUUUGCAUUAAAGAUGAUGAGGGAAAGGAGAAUGGGCUCUUUAUGUUGACAUAACUUUGCUGCUUUAAAUUGUACGAACCAAAUUGAGAAUAGAAUGUUUUCUCUCUUCUUUCUUUUUCACGAUCUUAUGAUUUUGACCUCAGAAGCCCAUUAAUUUUUACUAAUUUUGAGUUUUUUUCUAAUACAUUUUCUGUAUUAUAUAAUAUAAUUCUCGUUGUGGAAUUCCCACAGAGGCCCUUCCUUUUGAUACUUAUAGUUUCCUUACCAUUCUCGAGCGAAUCAUAUUGUCGUUUUUUCUCCAUCUCAUUCAGGUCAAAAGGGGUACGAAAACAAUAACCUUUUGAUAGAUUGACAAAAAACAGAGCCUUUUCUUCUUUUGUUUCCUCAUGAUUCAAAAGCAGAGGCCAAAAUUUUUCCCCACUCUCCUCGCCAAUUUCUGCUUUUAUCGUGUGCUUCAUAAUUGCGUCAAAGAGUUUUUGUUGUGUGGUUUCUUCUCGUGUAGUGAUAGCCUCAGAUGCUAAAAGAAGCACCCUUACUUCCUCAUGAUGCAAAAUUUGGUGUACAAAGGUCCAAUUUUUCUCCUCUCUUUGCAGGGUUAAUUAUCAAGACGGAUUCAUUUCGGUUCUCGUUUAACUUUAAAUCGCGUCUCCGAUCACUCUGGCCAGCUCCGUGGCACCGCCUUCUCGCACCUUAAGAAAGGUGUGGGCUUUAGAGGAUGCAAUUUGUCCUCGUUCCUCCGUUCCGAUCUCCUCUGUUCUUACAGCUUGGCUUCUCUUCCGCAUUCCGAAAGGAUCUCCCAUAGAUAAUGGUUAAUCCGUGAAGCUCCUUUUGACGAGUAUCGCCUAUAUGUAAUAGCCUUCCGCAUCGUCUUUGCCUUAGUCGUGUUAGUUGUUCAAAGAUCGAUAGGAGUUUAAGAACCUUUUAGAAGGGGAUUGAUUAGUUGCCGUUGCUUCUAGUUUGCGAGUGUAGAAUUAUUCAAGAUGGCGAGGUUCAACUGCUUCUCGACUCUUCUGGUCGGAAAGAAGAAAAAAUCCAAGGUGAGUUUAGUUUGUUUUUGCUCUUUUUUGCAUCUUUUUUGUUUCAGUAGUAUAUGAUUGUAAUUGGAUUUGUUGACAUCUUUGGCUUAACUGGAUUGUUUUAAAUUUUAGGAAUCACCAAAAGCCGCCGUCGUUGCUAAGAAGGUGAAUAGCAAUGGAAGUGUACAAGUGGAGCCGGAGGAAUUUGUGUAUCAGUCGAUCAAGGAACGCAAAAAUGAGCCGUCUUUGGACGUAUUUGUGCCGCCAUUUACUGAGGAAACGAGCCCUUCACAGAAAACGAAAGUGGCGGCGAAAGAGAGCUCGGUGAGGGCUGAACCCUCUGCUGAGGUAGCUUAUGAUGGAGGCGAUGAGCAAGACGAUAUCUUGUCGAUGAAGAGGGACUUCUCGGACUUUGACCUACAGGCUCGAGCCGAACCUAAAUCCGAGCAGAACCCUCGUGAUUCGAUCGGACCCAAUAAUGAAGUCGACAAUGGAGGAGUGGAGGACAAGUCCGAGAGAGAAGAAGGGAUCACUCCUGAGAUAAAGAUCCAAAGCGGGCAUGUGAGUGAUCCCGGAAUUGGGAGGAAGAUGGACUUACUGGGAUCUCCUCAACUAAAGAGGUCAUGCUCAAAUAUCGAGACUAAGAGAGUUAAUAAAUUGCUCGAUUCACCUACCAAGACCAAUUCAUAUGAUGAUCUCCAUAAUUUGUUAAACAAUGCUGUGAAUAAAGGAAUGCCCGUCGGGAUUCAGGGUAGCCCAUUAUCGGUAAAAACUUCGUUCAGUGCUGAUAAAGUGAUGUUAAAGAAGAGGUCUUCGAGCCAAGUGCUUCCCUCAAGAAGCCGGAAGCUGUGGUGGAAGCUCUUUCUAUGGAGCCACAGGAACCUCCACAGGCCCCGGACCACUCAGCCGCAAAGAAUGGUGCCGUCGAACGCCACAAUCACCAAUAAGAAAGGCGGGUAUGCUUCGGAUACUAUCGAGGCUAGCCCAACCCAUUUGAUCGAUAAGAAGAACAAGAAAGUGAUGACGGAGCCGCAGAAUUACCAAUGGGUUGCUUUCUCUGCGGAAGCAUCUAAUCUGGAUAGGGUUAAUGCUUGGGUGAAUAGCCUUGAGGAUUGCCCCUUCGGCCCUAACGAGGAUGAAGGCAAUACGAAUGAGGACGCGGAAGCCGCGAGGGCUAUAUUUUACGCAAAUGUGACCGAGAUCGGGGAGUCGUCGGGGGGGAAGAACCACUCUCAUAGUGGAGGCCGGCGUGUGGUUGAUGAGGAUCUACAAGCUAAUAAUAUUAUCCAAUCUCUUAAUACAUUUUCAUCUGUGGCUCACAUAUCUGGCAUGGGCCUGAAGGUUAUUCCUACCAUCUCGGCCUUUACUAGCCUUCGGACGGUCAAUUUGUCUGGCAACUUUAUAGGUGUGAUUUGUUAAAAUGACUUGACUAAUUAUAAGAUGGAAAAUCAUAAGUUUUAUUUAACAAUAUUGCUAUUGCUAUUGCUGCAGUGCACAUUUCCCCUGGAUCCCUGCCGAAGGGCUUGCAUGCUCUUGAUCUGUCGAGGAACAAGAUUGGCACCAUUGAGGGGCUUAGGGAAUUGACAAGAUUGAGGGUUCUUAACUUAAGCUACAAUAGGAUCUCUCGCAUUGGUCAAGGUACGUUGUUUGUUUGAUUUUUGGAAGGGGAAAAAGAGCGAUUUAUUUUCAGCAGUUGAGUUUGAAUUACUUUCAGAAUCACAGAAAAGUGGAAGCACCUUAUAGCUCAGCUCUCAUUUUUAGAAAGGUCUUAUUUAUUUGGCCUUGUUUAUGCGCAAAAAAAUAAGAAAAUAAACUGGUACCUGAAUGAUGAAAUAUCUUAGACAUUAGAAAUAUAUGAUGUGAUCUGUGACCGAGCACAUGCUUCGGAUUCUUCUUUGCUACAGUAAAUUGCAUGCUGCCUAUCCAAGUCACAUCUUGGUGCCCCUUACAACUGUGAGUGUCUGUCUUCCCUUUUGUGGACCAUAUAGAACUCUUGUUGCCUACUGCAGCGGGGCUGAAAUGCUAUGCUACGCUAUCUGUCGCAAGUUUGUCCCAACUUAGCUAUGACAUAUCAACUGCCUAAUGGAUUGAUAAGAUGGUCCCUUAUUAUUUCGCAACUUCCUGUUGUAAUUUUGGCUUGUCGGUGGUGCAGUCUUAUCAGAAUGCUAUGGACUGCACAUUUACCUCUUGCCUACCACCUAUUAGGCAAAUGUCCUUUGUAAGAUAUUCGGUGCAGGCAAUAAUUUCUUUCAAUCCAUUAGUGCCAUUCACGUAAUCGAACCAUCAUGCCUUCAAAAAAUUUUUCAAGACUAAAGUAAAUCACACAGCUUCCAUUCUGAGUUAGUGUUUCAAAACAUUCUCUGUUUCUAGAACUAGAGAAAAGAUGUCAUCUACUGAAGGAAGGCCUGAUCAUAUCAUGAACUUUGUCACAGGACUCUCGAACUGCACUGCGAUUAAGGAGCUAUACCUGGCUGGGAACAAAAUAAGCGAAGUCGAGGGCCUCCACCGCCUACUCAAACUCGCUGUACUUGACCUCAGCUUCAACAAGAUAACUACCGCCAAGGCGCUGGGCCAGCUCGUUGCGAACUACCACUCACUCCUAGCCCUAAACUUACUGGGCAAUCCUAUCCAAUCCAACAUUGGCGAUGACCAGCUUCGGAAGGCGGUCUCGGGCCUCCUCCCGCAGCUCACCUACUUAAAUAAGCAGCCCAUCAAGCCGCAGAGGGCCCGUGAGGUGGCCACCGACAGCGUGGCGAAGGCCGCGCUGGGGGUCAACGAUUGGAGCUCGCGGCGGAAGAUGGCUCGGCGAGUGAGCCAGGGUUCGGGCUCAUCAAGCAGGGGUCGGGCCGGAGAAGGGAGCAGCAGCUUGCAUCGGGGAUCAGGGCACAAGAACGGGAAGCAGAGGUCGAAAAGCAGGCACCAGAACUCGAGCUCUGCAAGGAAAUAAAGCAGAUAAAAAUCUCACCAUCCUUUUCAGGCACAAUAAAAAUAACAAAUAAAAGGGAAAUCUUGCCGUGGGUAUUGUAUCGUACAAGGUAUGCUUUGCGUACUUCAAAAAAUUCCUUGCAGUGCUGCUGAUGAGCUAGCAAAAACACUAGACCAUUAAAUCAAAAGAAAGUCGGACCGCUGAUUAAGCUACACAUUAAGAUGACGAGUCAUCAAUUGCAUUUGAGGGGGAUCUUCAGAAGUGCGAAGAAGUAUUACUUUUGUUACAUUUGUGUUAUAUAUUGGGAGUAUUGGCUUAGUUUUCGUCGAUUUUGAAAAUAAAGAGUUGGGCAAAAAAUCAUUUCGGGUCGCAUUUAGGACUCUCUAUAUUUGUGUGUUCAGAGGAGAAGGUGGGAUAUCUUCCUUUUUUUUUUUUUCUCUCAUUUUUAUGUUAUUAUCCUUCUGGUCGGUUUGUGUUUGGCGUUUAUUAUCUGAACUUGGUUGUUAUGGAGGAGAUGAGUGUAAUUGCCAAAGUUGGUGUUAGCUUAUUAUUUUAUCUCGAGUUUUGGGUAACCAAAUUUUGUUGGAUGAUUUCAAGAACUAAAUUUUGUUAUAAGUUGUUGGAUGAUUUCAAGCUAAAUAAUGCUUGAGAGUAUAUCGUGGAUAAACACCCCCUAAGAGGAAAACUACCUUUCUCUAUACAAGAUCUCCCUAUGUCUAUGUGUGAAGCCAAUUAUUUAUGCUUUUUGCUUACGAGAAAAUGUUUUCCUUGACAUCAAUAAUUGCAAUGAACGAGUAAUAUGUGAAUAACACUACUAGACCUAAACACAUUGAUUCACGUGCUUAUUUUGCAUGGUUUAAAACAACUAGAAAGUAAAAACAGUGGCGUGGGUAAGAUAAUGAAAAAAAUAGUUGGGGUGAGAGAGGCUCGAACUCUCGACCUCAGGAUAACUCAAACAUCGCUAUGAGACCUACGCGCUAGCCAACUGCGCCACCACCCCUUGUUAUGUUGCUAGUAUAAAACAUAAAUUUGAUCAAAAUUUGUAAAAUAUUAAGUAAUGCAUGGUUUAAGCAAAUUGAUAAUGUAUUUCUCGUGUUCAUUAUUUCAGUGAGCAAGCUCCAAGUAACUAAGCAUCAGAGGACAUUGUAAUGGUUUUUAAUCCCCCACAUUAAAAUUACAUGCUAAAUACAAAUUUUAAAAGUCAAGCAAUAUGAAAAACAACGUUCACUGCCUCUUGCUCUUGCUGAAAGAGGCCAAGUCCUCCACCAACCUCUCAAGAUCUACAAAAGAAGGCCCAUUUGGCUCAAUUGCUUCUCUAGCCUUUAACUUCCACUCCUUGGCCUUCUCCCUCAUCUCCCUGCCCUUCUCCCCACACAUCAACUCCCUCACCAUUCUCUCCACCUCCCCUCUCUUCACAUCACUCCCAAUCUCCAUCCCCAUCCCCCACUCCGUGCACAAGUACCGACAAUUCGUCGGCUGCUCCGAGAAGAAGGGCCAACAUAUCAUCGGCACCCCCUCGUAUAUGCUCUCCAGCGUGGAGUUCCACCCGCAGUGGCUGAGAAAACCACCAACCGCCGGAUGGGCCAGCACCUGCUCUUGGUUGCACCACUCAACCAACAAACCCCUUCCUUCUAUGUCCCUCACGAACUCUUCCGGCAACCCUGCCGUAUCAUCGUCGACGAGAUCAGGUCGCACCACCCAUAGGAACGGCGACUUGCUGGAUUCUAGUCCCCAUGCGAACUCUACUAGCUGGUCCCUUGUCAUGACAGUGAUGCUACCGAAGUUCACGUACACCACCGAUCCUGCAACCUACGCACGCGUAGGACGUAGGAUGGCGAUUUCAGACAAGACAUGUUAAUGCGACACAAACAUGACUAAAUUAACACAUUAUGAAGUUGCUUUGAGAUAUUCGAAAUCAACAUAAAAACAUAAGAUGUAGUCUUUUAAAAGGCAGAACUAACACAUGACCGUCGAACACAAACACAACUCUAGCUAGAAAUCUAAGCGUGGUCCGUAUACAUACCUGUGUGUUUAGCCAUUUUACGCAGUUGGUAUCUUCUUUCCAAAGGUUGGAGCCGAUGGAGGAAGAAGGGGCCGUCGGUGGGAUACGAUGAGACAGAGGGGAGAUCGGACCGAUGACGUAGAGGUUGGGGAGCCUGGAACGAAUGGCGGUGAGGACAUCGUGCUCGAGGGCGUCGAACGUGUUAAGGAUGAUUCCGAACGCGCAGGGGGCAUCAUCCUCCAAUUGAUCCUUGUUGAUGCUGAGCAUGAUGUCGUCGGGAUCGGUGGUUCGGAUGAAGGACGAAAUGUCGCGGAGGCGGACGUUCUUGAACCCCUUGAUCCAGUCCAGGGGAGUGUCGAGGUAUCCGUUGGUUAAGUAGCUCUUUUCUGCAUGUGUAUAAUGCAUGAGAGUGUAAAUGACAUUUGCAGGGAAAAGUUAGGGUUAUUUGAGAGGAGGAGAUUAGUAAGGGGAUAUUUAAUGAACACAUGUAACUUAAUCAAGUAUAUUGUUUAUAAUAAUGCAUAAUGCAUAUGUGUCGUAUGUAACGUUUGAUGUUAAAACAAGUGAAAUAUUUUUUGAUGUUAAAACAAGUGAAAUAUUAAAGUAGAUAAAAGAAGAUUCUUUAAGCUUUUGUAUGACUUGUUUGAGGAAGAAUUUAGAAAACACUAUCAUUAUAACUAAAGUAGCGUACAAAAAGUAUUUUUAUCAUAAAAUUUUAAAUUCAAAAUAUACACCCUAUAAUCUUUCUCAUUUGUAACACCAAAUCAACAGAUAACUAAAACUCAAUAAAUUAGCAACAGAUGACUUGAACUAUCUAUCUUCUUCACCAAAUGAUUUCUCGAUCACGUGCAACUGCACACCAAACAAGUCCAUGCAAUAUUUGAACUUCCCACAGCCACGACGGCUCUUUUAACUAUAUUUUUUAUUUUUUAUUUUUUAUUUUUUAUUUCGAAAAAAUUUACUGCUGAUUUUAUAAAAUAUAUAUUAUUUUAUUUUUGUUUGAGAAAAAAAAUAUAUUAUUUUAUUAAAUAAAUAAAAAUUAAUAAGCCUACCUGGUAUUUAGACCCAGUCUCAAAUGCACUGGACUGCACCAAGCCGCACUGGGCCCUACGGCCCGUCAGGGCCUAUAUUUGAAUACGGGCCGACUGGGAAUGAACUAGUACGACCCGCGGUCGUGCUGAUCUGGACUGGCCUAUGGACCGCUCGACCUGUUUUACACUCCAAUUCGUAGGAUUUUUAAAAAUAUCAAUCUUCUUCUUCUUCAACAACAAUUUUUACAAUUCCUGUUGCAUCAAAAUGUUUUUCAUCUAAACUUACCAAAAAAACAAAUUUGCUGAAGUAACGUUCUGAAAUAAAAUAUACAAAUAUUUAGGACCGAACUUGGUCAAGCAUGACUGACAACUUUCCGCCUGACGGGUUAGACCAAAACGAAAGCGAAACUUAAAUAAAGGAAGGAAGCUGUAGACCAGUGUUUCGUCUUUUUCGUAAUUAAUUAAUUAAUUCGACCGUGCCACAUACAAAUGUGACAUGCAACUUGUUGUAUUUGGUUUAUGGUCUAUGGUAGAAAUGCGCAUGGAUUCGAGAAAAGCUACUAAACAAAACCAAACCGACUAUUUUGGGGUGGGUUGGUUUGAUUUGAAAUAUUUUUAAGCAAAAAAUUUUAAUUUAUGUUUGGUAUAUAAGAUUUUAAGUUUGAAGUACAGUUGCUUCUUUUGUAAAAUAAUAAAUAAAACAAGUGAUAUACUAAUUUUAUCUUUAAAAACAAAUACGUAAACACCAAUCAACUCGCGCGCUCGUGCUUACACUAGCUACGUUACCUUUUCUCGAGAGUAUAAUGACAAAGAACAAGAAGAUAUAAUAUGUUGUAUUUUACUUUCUAAUAUAACUAGGAUUUGUUAUUAAAAGAAAUGAUUUGAUUAAUAGAAUGGGAAGCUCUUCACUGAGAAGAGCAUGCGUGACUUGGCUAGCUGUUCCAAAUUAAUAUGAAUUUUCGAGAGAAUUAUAUGCCUGCUCCAAUGGCUCACACAUGCGCCCUUCUCGUUGGAGUGCUUUUCACUGAAGUUUUAUUGUAUCGUACCUUUCAGAGGAACGUAGCCCCUUCUCACGAGCUCCGCGUAGUUCAUGUACCCCAGCACCCCGCCGGCGCUGGGGGUGAAGAAGAUCAGCGCGGGGAUCCCCAUCUCCUCGGCCGGGUACACCGCGAACGUCAUCGCCCCGUCCGCCACCACGCACGUCACCGGGUCCCCCGCAGCGCCGAGCCGCGCGAUGAGCUCCCUGAGCAGGGGGCCGCACGUGCGGCGCGCGGACGCGCAGAGCUGGGGCACGUCCUGCGUCCCGUCCCGGUCCGGCCGGGGCAGGCCGUCCGGGAUGGUCUCGAACCGGAACCCGUCCACGCCCCGGACGGCGCCCGGCCCGCGCGACCGGACGAGCCGGGCGUGGUUGAACUCCGUGUUGACGAAGGUGAUGCGGAAGCUCCCCCGCGCGUGGAGGAGCUUCGCGAGCCUCAGCAUCGGCGUGAGGUGGCCUUGCGCCGGGAACGGUAAAAACACCGCAUGCGGUGUCGCCGCCGCUUCGCCGUUGCUCUCCAUUUUCUUUUCUUUUAUGCCUUUUCUUUUAAGAUCUUGUUGUGCGGUUGUGGUAUAGUCGCUUGGCGUGAUCGCUCACCAAGCUACUUCUUCUCCUCCUCCUCCUCCUCCUCCUUAAGUGAGUGAGAUCGAUAUAGACCCUGAUUAAUUUUCUAAUUUUUUAUUUCAUUUUUUAAUUUCGUGCCUAGGAUGUAUUUUAUGUUUGAGUCGGUUUCACGUACGUUGGAAAUUUUCGAUUUACUUUAGAAGCGGUGGUAAUUGAAAAACACAUACACAGAUAAGAUUAGAAUUGAUCACGGCAAUUCACGCAAGUAGGGCCCGUAUCUGACAAUAACUGGUGGACAGAGUCUCGAAAUCCCAAUUAUUAAUUAAACAAUUAUAAAUUAUGCUGAUGCAGCAGUGACCACUACCAUCUGGUAAAGACUUAACAACAUUUUUUUAUUUUCAUCCCUCACAUAAUUAAAUAUUUAUUAAUAUUCUAUUUUUUAAAUAUUAAUUAAUAUUUUAUUAAUAUUAAUUAAUAGAAUUUUAAAAUUGUAAAAUUUGACAAUUAAUAUUUUAUUAUAUUGACUAACAUUCCAGAUUCUUUUCUUAUUUUUAUUCCUAGCAUAAUUAAAUAUUUAUUAAUAUUUUUAUUUUUAUUAAAUAUUUAUUAACAUUAACAUUAACAUUAACAUUUUAUUAUUAUUAAUUUAAAUUUUAAAAUUAAUUUUUUAUUUUUUUAUUUUUUUAAAAUAAUAAAAGAAUAAAAAAAAAAUAGAAUUGUAAAUUUUGACAAGGGCCGGGCAUGGCGCGUACCGCUCUACCACAAAUGAUGAUAGGCCAGUGCACCCAACAAAGUGCAAUGUGGAUGACGGGCCUGGGUGGACCACGGGCCUAGGGCAUGGAUUUUGUUGAUCACCCAUAGACCUCGUCCAGGUAAGUAUGGGCUAAAAGCCCACGCACCACUCAUUUUAGAGGACCCGGAACUACGAAGAAUAAUGCAAUAGUCGAUGUGGGAUUAAAGUCCACGCAUCAUUUUGUAUCUACUACUGUUCUGAAGACCAGGUCCACCACUAACCAGACUGGUAAAACUCAAGACAAGGUGAAAUUCAAUAUCGUUUUGAUGUAAUCUACGAACAAACAUUACUAUAUAUAUAGUCAACAACGGGCUUCUUUAUAUUACUACUUUUUCGGGCUAUUCAAAUGCGUCGGUUAUAGAUUAUUUAGACGUUUAAUUAGAUUGGUUCAUGUGCUUUGCAGGUAUAUAAUUCAACUAAACGAUAAAGCAUUAGUGAGGGCAAAAUAAAUUAAAGAUGGAAAAUAAAAAUAAAGUUGAAAAAUCCGACCGGUUGUAGCCAGCUACCUAAUUAAGAAUUUACGACGGUCAAAUCCAACUACAACCCUCCGCUCUGCCAACUGAGCUAAAAUCGAAAGGUUUAAUGCAAGAGAGAGAGAGUAAUCAAAAUUCUCGACCUAAGAACAACUCAAGCAACCGACUGUUCCUAAAGCAAGUGGCAAAGGACAUAAAGAUUGGUAGCCGAGAUCCCAAAUUCGAAAUCUAGUUGAUUCACAUUUCCAACUAAGUUUAUUUUCUAAAUGAAAUAAACGAAACGGAUAGUAUGCUACCUAUUUCUAAAAAAAAAAAGAAAAGAAAAAAAAAAGAGAAUAACUCAAGCACUGCUAUGGGGCCUAUGCGCUAACCGACCGUGCGCACCACGACCACAACUUACGUGACCCAUAAGUAGCAUUUGAUUUCAUCUUACAUGUAGAGUUGCAAACAAAGAUCCCCAGUACAUAUAUAUGUACAUACAUCUGCAAGGAUUGAUCGAGCAAACAGAAAAUGUCUCUAUUAUUCAUCAUGUCAUGGGGGAGUGCUAGCAAGCUCUGCGCAACCAUAUGUCACAGCACAUUAAUUACAACAGUUUUUUCAAGUUUCCAAAUUGAAAGAACAAACUAAAUACAAAUUUUAAAACCAAUCUAUUAAGAGAAGCAAUGUUCAUGUUCACGUUCACUCCCUCUUACUGAAAGAGACCUGCAGGUCAUCCACCAACCUCAGGAUAACUCAAACAUCGCUACGAGACCUACACGCUACUACGCUAGCCAACUGCGGCACCACCCCUUGUUAUGUUGUUAGUAUAUAACACAAAUUUGAUCAAAAUUUUUAAAAUAUUAAGUAAUGCAUGGAUUAAGCAAAUUGAUAAUGUAUUUUCUUGUUCAUUAUUUCAGUGAGCAAGCUCCAAGUAACUAAGCAUCAGAGGACAUUGUGAUGGUUUUUAAUCCCCCACAUUAAAAUUACAAGCUAAAUACAAAAUUUAAAAGUGAAGCAAUAUGAAAAACAACGUUCACUGCCUCUUACUCUUGCUGAAAGAGGCCAAGUCCUCCACCAACCUCUCAAGAUCUACAAAGGAAGAUCCACUGGGCUCAGUUGCUUCUCUAGCCUUCAACUUCCACUCCCUGGCCUUCUCCCUCAUCUCCCUCCCCUUCUCCCCACCCAUCAACUCCCUCACCAUUCUCUCCACCUCCCCUCUCGUCGCAUCACUCCCAAUCUCCAUCCCCAUCCCCCACUCCGUGCACAAGUACCGACAAUUCGUCGGCUGCUCUGCGAAGAACGGCCAACAUAUCAUCGGCACCCCCUGGUGUAUGCUCUCUAACGUGGAGUUCCACCCGCAGUGGCUGAGAAAACCACCAACCGCUGGAUGGGCCAGUACCGCCUUUUGGUUGCACCACUCCGCCAACAAUCCCCUUCCUUCUGUCUCCUUUACAAACCCUUCUGGCAAUACUGCCUUAUCACCACCGACGAGAUCAGGUCGCACCACCCAUAGGAACGGCGACUUGGUGGCUGCUAGUCCCCAUGCAAACUCUGCUAGCUGGUCCCUUGUCAUGACCGCGAUGCUCCCGAAGUUCACGUACACCACCGAUCCUGCAACCUAGGAUGGCAAUUUCCAACAUGACAUGUUAAUGCGACACAACCAUGACUAAACGCAUUGUGAAGUUGCUGUUAGAAAUUCGAAAUCAACAUAAAGACAUAGGAGGUAAUCUUUUAAAGGGCAGAGCUAACACACGACUGCCGAACUCAAACACAACUCUAGAAACCUAAGUGUGGCCCGUAUACGUACCUGUGUGUAUAGCCAUUUUAUGCAGUUGUUAUCUUCCUUCCAAAGGUUGGACCCGAUGGAGGAAGAAGGGGCUGUCGGCGGGAUACUAUGAGACAGAAGAGAAAUCGGACCGAUGACGUAGAGGUUGGGGAGCCUGGAACGAAUGGCGGCGAGGGCAUCGUGCUCGAGGGCGUCGAACGUGUUGAGGAUAAUUCCGAAUGCACGGGGGGCAUCGUCCUCGGACUGCAUGAUGUUGAUGUUGAGCAUGAUGUCGUCGGGAUCAGUGGUCUGGAUAAAGGACGGAAUGUCGCGGAGGCGAAUGUUCUUCAUGCCCCUGAUCCAGUCCAGGGGAGUGUCGAGGUAGCCGUUGGUUAAGUAGCUCUUAUCUGCAUGUGUAUAAUGCAUGCGAGAGUAAAUGUCGUACAUGCAGGGAAAAUAUAGGCUUAUUUGAGAGGAGAUCAUGAACACACGCAUAUAACUUAAUUGAGCACAUUGUUUAUAAUGCAUACAACUUAUUACCCAUAACUGAAUAUCGAAUGAAAUGUUUGAGGUUAAAAACAUGUUGAAUAUUAAAGUAGACAAAAUAUUGAGUUUUUUGUAUGAUUUGUAUGAGGAAGGAUUGAAUAUUGUUCUUUAUCGUAGGUGGUAAAUUUCUUUCAGUAGGUAGUGCUUGUUACUAGUAUACUUUACAUAUUCUCUUUUUGGACAUAAACUAAUAAAUUAAGAGCACAUCAUUAAUUCGAUCUGACUACGUCAAGUAUACAUUAUUCCAACUUCUUAGUUACAUUGACCUUAUAGAAAGGUAAUAUUUGUGAAAGCUUAUCCUAAGGGGAAAAAAAAACUUUCAUUAAAUGCUAUCAUUUUAUGAUGGCCAAAAAUUUCUUUCAGUUGCUCGUGGUAAAAUCUUUAGAUAUUUUUUUCCAUUAAAGAAUAAAAUCGAAAUUACUAAGCUAGAGAGAGAUGUAUACUUUUUUUUUUUUUUUUUGUGGACAUGAGAUAGAGUGGUGAUUACGGACGUAAAUAUGGUGGAAAUGAAGGUACCUUACCUAGUCAAGCUGGUGGAAAUACGGUGGAAAUGAAGGUACCUUACCUAGUCAAGCUGGUGGAAAUAUGGUGGAAAUGAAGGUACCUUACCUAGUCAAGCUGGUUCACAUAAAUAUAUGCAUGUGAAACCAAGCCAAACCGACAAUUUUGAUAUAGUUUUGGAUGCAAAUGAUUUGAUUUUAGUUUAAUCAAUUUUGAAACCAAAAAUUGUGGUUGGUUUUGAGUUGAAAUUUUGAGAAAACUUCUUAAAUUGCAAAACCAAAUUAUAUAUUUUUACGUGUAUCUACAGUACUACUUAUAAAAGCGUGAGUUUUAAAUUUUUUCUCUUUCAAAAAAUGCCUCUACUCUUUUAUUAAUAUUUUCGUGUCCAGUAAUCUCCAACCAAUCAUUUUAAAUAAUUUACUAAAUAAUAACUUAUUCUCAAAUAAAGAUAUAUAUAAAUUAUAUAUAUAUAAUACCGGAGUUUUGAUAUUAUAGUCUUAUUUUCGAUUUUAGAAUAUUCAAAUCAACAACUAUGUACAACUAUAAUAUCAUUUGUAAAAAGUUAUAUACAGGAAAAUGUAAUUUCAGAUAGGAUGCUUCCACAAAUGUAAGCGCCAAUUAGAGCAUAUUUGUUUCACUGAAAGUGGACUUUGUGUUGAAGUGGAAUUUAAGUUGAAGUGGAAUUCAGUAAAAACUACUUUUUUUUGCUCUUUGUUUCGUAAAUAUUAUAGAAGCGAAGUUUUAUUAGUUCUGCUAUUUGGUUGGUAAGAAGUGUAUGAUAUAUAAAACUAUAAUUUAUAUAUAAAUAAUAAAUAUUUUAAUAAAUAAAAAUAAUAUAAUUAUUUUUUUAUAUAAUUAAAAUUUAAUUUAAAAUAAAUAAAUUAUUUUUUAUACAUAAAUUAUAGUAAUACAACAAUAAAAUUAUAAAGUUAAAAAAUAUUAAUACUUAAUUAAUCAAUUUUUAUUAUAUUUUAAUUAUACAAAAUAAAUAAAAAAUAUUAAAACUUAACUAAUUAAUUUUUAUCAUAUAUUAAAUAUGUCAACUGAAUAAAAAAAUAAUUAGUAAUAUAAUUAAGUAUCUUUAAAUAUAAUUAUUUUUAUCUAAUAUAUUAUUUUAUCAUCUUUUUCUUUAUAUCUUUUCACCAUAAUUGACUUCCGGUUGUUGUCAAUUACGCCGUUUGAGAUUAAUUCAAAUUUCGACCGUAACUUUGUUACGACGAACCAAACAACGAAGAUAUAUAAUUAUUUAUGGCGAAAACGACUUCUCUCUAUUCCACUUCUACCCUACUUCCAUCCAAACAAACAUGCCCUUAACCAACGCAAUUGUGCUAACACUAUUCGUCCCUUGCCUAAACAAACUCUAAAUAUAUAUUAAUUAAAAUUCUU